rnacentral:lncRNA from 1 species
GCAGCACUAAAAACUUUUUUUUUAGAAAAGGAGCAGCACUAAAAACUUGGGGUGAUUAGUAGUAAUGAGCUGGAUUUGAGAAGUGAGAUGACUUCACGCAUAUAUUUCUAGGUAUUAUAUAUCAAGCAGAAAUAUGAUAUUGGAAGUACUUGUGUUUGCAUGGAUGAUGCAACUAUGUCGGUCAGCUUGUCUCGCUACAUGGAUGUUUGAUUCAGCUAAACCAUGUUAUCUCUCGCUUGGUUUUUGUGCACCAUGGAUGUUCCAGUUGAUGAAUGGUUCCAUGUAAAGCGCUUUGCUUCUAUUUAUUUUGGGAAGGAAAACGGCUCUUUCCAUUGUCCACCGUCCAUUUAUUUUGAUCCCAUGGGCCAGAUUUUAGAACUCCCGGUCCCGGAACUAAACUAAUAUUUAUUACUUCUAUAAAGAAUGUUGGAGUAUCAGGUCUUCGGGGAGCCUUUGCGUGUGAAAAUGUCCUCCGCGUUGUUCGUUGCAUGUUGGCCACCCGCGGUUGGCUCCCUGGGGCGCUCUGGGCCGUCCGAUCUAGGCAGGCGCCUCACACCCGGACGACUUGCCUAUGGGUCCAUGCCGGGGGGGCUGCGGGCACGGUUGGGUCCAUCGUGAUGUGGUGUUUUCGAUCACACCAGUUUGUGCCCUCUUGUUGGUUGCCUUGCGCGUGACGGGCCGACCCUGUUGGUGUAGUUCGCUUGUGCCAGGCAAGCCGCGCACACCCCCGGAUCGGGGUGGCGCGUGUUAGGAAACCGGAGAGGGCCAUCCGGCCAGCCGUCGCGAUGGCGGGCCAGCCGGCCAAGGUUCAUUUAUUUGAGGCAAAUUUCUUUAGUGACAUCCGUGCUAUGGGGCGUUUGCUGGGGAUUGGUUUCUAGCGAACGUUCGCCAGAUUAUCUUUACCGCUUUCUUUUAGUAUCUAGGUUUUUCUUAGUAUUUUAUUAUUUUUCUCAUAGUUUGGACCGAUCUCCUCACGUCAGAAUGUCAAAUGUAAUCCUUUCGAAAAAAAUAUAGUGCACGCGCGAAAACCGUCUCAAGAUUGGCCAGUAAACCCUCCUGCUUACUGCUCCAUCGCAUUUGAUAUACUCCUUCUGUGUAAAAAGAAUGUUCAUCACUUUUGCAUUUCACAACCAAUGCAUUGCAUUUGAUAUAACCAUUCCCUUUCUAUAGUAACACAAGUUUAUGGGCUCCUCGCAGCUGUUCUUUGCACUGCAACCGCCUCCGCAUUAUUUAACAGAUCUACCCUCGAUCUACCCGCGCGCUAACUCGAGGUUUAUAAACCAAGCGAACUUUUCGCGUCCCUGAAGCGCAAAGGAUGCCGAGCUCGCCGGCGCAAAUGGCACUUGGCCGCGCGAGAUCGCCGACGCUGGUGCUCGCCGCCGCGGUCCUUGGCGCGCUCUGCGUCGUCGCACUCUCGGAGGACGGUGCGUGUGUUCACCUGCAUGGUUUUUCUGGGGGUUUUGCACGUCAGCUACGUGCGUUGUCUCUUUUAUCAUGAUCACUGGACGCUGUGAUGACCAAUGGUGCCAUACGUGUGCAGAGCAACUGGAGAACCUGCGGUUCGUGCAGCACGCGCAGGACGCGCCGCUGGUGUCGCACUACAACUACAUCGUGGUCGGCGGCGGCACGUCCGGGUGCCCGCUGGCGGCGACGCUGUCGGAGCACUCGCGGGUGCUGCUGCUGGAGCGCGGGGGCCUCCCCUACCGCAACAUGUCCAACCAGGAGCACUUCACGGAUGCGCUGGCCGACACGUCGCUGGCGUCCCCGGCCCAGCGGUUCGUCUCCACGGACGGCGUGGUGAACGCGCGGGCGCGGGUGCUGGGCGGCGGGAGCUGCCUCAACGCCGGGUUCUACACGCGGGCCAGCAACGAGUACGUGCGCACGGCCGGGUGGGACGCCGGCCUCGUCAACUCGUCGUACCGGUGGGUGGAGCGCGCGCUGGUGUUCCGCCCCGACGUGCCGCCGUGGCAGGCCGCGCUCCGGGACGCGCUGCUCGAGGCCGGCGUCACCCCCGACAACGGCUUCACCUUCGACCACGUCACGGGGACCAAGAUCGGCGGCACCAUCUUCGACAACAGCGGGCAGCGCCACACCGCGGCCGACUUCCUCCGGCACGCCCGGCCCCGGGGGCUCACCGUCGUGCUCUACGCCACGGUGUCGCGGAUCCUGUUCAGAAGCCAGGAGGGGGUGCCGUACCCGGUGGCGUACGGGGUGGUGUUCGCGGACCCGCUGGGGGUGCAGCACCGGGUGUACCUCCGGGACGGCGGGAAGAACGAGGUGAUACUGUCGGCGGGGACGCUGGGGAGCCCGCAGCUGCUGAUGCUGAGCGGCGUGGGCCCGCAGGCGCACCUGGAGGCGCACGGCAUCCAGGUGCUGGUGGACCAGCCCAUGGUCGGGCAGGGCGUGGCCGACAACCCCAUGAACUCGGUCUUCAUCCCGUCGCCGGUGCCGGUGGGGCUCUCCCUGGUGCAGGUCGUCGGGAUCACCAAGUCCGGCAGCUUCAUCGAGGGCGUGAGCGGCUCCGAGUUCGGCAUCCCGGUCUCCGACGGCGCCCGCCGCCUGGCCAGCUUCGGCCUCUUCUCCCCCCAGACCGGGCAGCUCGGCACGCUGCCGCCGGGGCAGAGGACGCCGGAGGCGCUGCAGCGCGCGGCGGAGGCGAUGAGGCGGCUGGACAGGCGGGCGUUCCGGGGCGGCUUCAUCCUGGAGAAGAUCCUGGGGCCGGUGUCGACGGGGCACAUCGAGCUGCGCAGCACCGACCCGCGCGCCAACCCGGCCGUGACCUUCAACUACUUCCAGGAGGCGGAGGACCUGGAGCGGUGCGUCCGGGGGAUCCAGACGAUCGAGCGGGUGAUCCAGUCGCGCGCCUUCUCCAACUUCACCUACGCCAACACCACCGUCGAGUCCAUCUUCACCGACUCGGCCAACUUCCCCGUCAACCUGCUGCCGCGGCACGUCAACGACUCCCGCUCGCCGGAGCAGUACUGCAGGGAGACCGUCAUGACCAUCUGGCACUACCACGGCGGGUGCCACGUCGGCGCCGUCGUCGACGACAACUACCGGGUGUUCGGGGUGAGGGGGCUCAGGGUCAUCGACAGCUCCACCUUCAGGUACUCCCCCGGCACCAACCCACAGGCCACCGUCAUGAUGCUCGGCAGGUAAACGCAAGUCUGAGAUGACCCCCGCAAUUAUACUGAUCUGAAUGAAUGAAUCAACUCUACUAACACAACUAUGAUAACUCUGUACAGGUAUAUGGGCAUAAAGAUUCAGGCCGAGAGAUGGAGGAAAUGAUAUUUCACGGAGCCAAAUUUGCAUGUAAUUCGUGGCAUAAUAUUGUAUUUGGGGGACCUGGUUUAGAACAGAUUAAUUUGGUUUUUCCACUUAUUCUCUAGGCAUAGUCUUUUAGUGCCUGUUUGUUGAUUACUAUGAAACCCAGACAUCCCUUUAACAUGCAUUUCUCUGCAUUGCAAAAUAAGAAAGAAAACUUAUGUUGCAAAGGCAUGAUGGUGGUUCAAGCAACAAUACUUCGGUAAAAAAAUGGAAACCGGUUGCAACAUCCACCCACCAAUUUCCAUUGAUGACAAGAGUAGCAAACCAAGGCCCAACAUUGCUUCAAAAAACUGUGCAGGAUGCAUUUACAGUUUUGCACUAGAAACUUAGUUUCAUCAAAUUACAUAUAACAUACUACUAUUUCUCUUGGUGGUUGUCACUUGCUACAAACGCCAGGUUCCCUUCAGAGGGAUCCAGCAUGUAAUCAUCUUACCUAUACAGGGACCGAAUACAUGUAAAAGGAACAUGAUUAGUUAAGACGGGAACAACCAAAAGGCAGAAAUGACUUGAAUUUUUUUUCCUUGUUUCCAACUUGCCCUACUUGCCUGCUACCUACAUAUUGGCUUGCGAAAUUCUCUCCCUACCUAUGUUAUCAGGAACCAGAAAGUGCUACUUCGGCAUCUCUGUUGUCCAGAAUACCCAAGAAGCCAACAAUUGCAUUCUUGCAUAAGCAGAAUUCAUAUUGUGAGGUUUUCCUGGAUGGCCGUGAAGGAGCCACAAAUGUUUCCGCCCAUGUCUGGGAAUGUCGCACAUCCUGGCAAGGGUUUCACCUUGCCUUUACGGUCAACACUUACAGGGUACUUGAGGAGGUGGCCUCUCAUCUCAGUCACCUCAUUGGCAAAGAACUGAUCCCAGUUAUGUUGCCCGAGUUGACGAACCCGCCUCAUGCACUCUAGGCUCUCUGGAUGGUUAAAGUCUUCCUCGAUAAUUCCAAUAUGCUCAGCCCAGAGGGACAUUCUGUAGCCAUAAAUCUACAUAAAAGAUCACCAAACUUGAUUUAGAGUAUAAUCCAGAAAUACCAGCUGCGUCAUAACUAGAUUAUUACCCUAUAAGAGAUGAGAUGAUAUACCCCGACAACCUUUUUCACUUGCUGUUUUAGAAUGCACAUAUUAGUAUUUAUAUUCACAUAAGAACUGUACUUGUAUAAUUGCCACCAACAGUAUUUAUGUGCCAUUACGUGUCUAUAGUUUAGUGUAUAUAUAAUAAAAAAGGGUAAAUGUUAAAUAGGUGUAGUUGGAGGCAGUCUCUCUGAAAACGUAAAAAAUAAGUUAAAACAAUUGUAAUGAAGCAGCGGUUCUAAGCAACGCAUAACAUCAGGAAGACAAGUACAAAAUCUGCAGGCACAAUCUCAAAAUGCAAGCUCAUGAGAACACCUGUCUUCUGCAGGUACCAAAAAAUGUGAUUCAGCAGCUUGAACUUGAAACAUGAGGCAUUACCUGUCCACGGGGAGCAGAAAUUUUAUUUGCCCAUGUAUACUGUGGUUGAUAUGCUCCCAUUGCAAUCUCAGUAUCUCUGAUCCCUUCCAUCGACCUCUGGUUGAUAUUAGCUGAUCCAAUGAUCACAUAUUCAUCAUCUACAAUCAUACCUUUUGAAUGUACAUAAACCAUGAAUCUCCUAUUUUUCCUAGCUUGAUCCUGAAUAGCAAGUAAAAAUAAGUUUCAUGUCACAACAACUAGUACAUCAAAUAACUAGUGAAAAUUCAAAUACUGCGAGAAGUUCAAACUAUCCCCACAAAAAAUGUAAAAUUUUGGCAGAGCAUCAACAUAACUUGCGAAAUCACUUCAAUUGUUCAUCCAAAGGCCUGUCUUAAGCAAAAGUGCUCAAGUAGUCCCUGGCAGAAAAACUCAGUUGUAUGCACUGGCCAUUUGGUCUACAUGUAUGACCAAAAGAACAAGACCUUCUAUCAAGUUACUUUUAAGAACUAGGGAUAUGGCCGUUCACAGUAAGAUUCAUCUGCAAAGAGCCAGUGGCAGAAAGAAACUGACACUUUGAUGCUGUGGUGCAUCAUGCAUCAUAAAGGCUACCAGAAUCAUGUCAAUAUUUUACCAAGAAUAACAGAAACUCGGUUCAUGCUAAGGUCACAUAAGCUCAACGUGUCAUGACUACUCUCUUUACUAUCAUGAUUGAAACUAAACCAGUUCAACCUUACUGGAACAAACCAAAACUGCAGGUUAGAGCCAGCAUAGCGUGUUGAAACUUGAAAGAAAAACAAGAGAGAAAUUCACACCUGAGGAUUAUUUGCAGUACUUGGAGUACUAGGGCUGUCCCCAAUUUCACGAUUGCCAAGACAAAAGAAGUUCAAAUAAUCCUGAGGCUCAUAUUUAUCAUCCAGACCUACUUCUUUCAAGGCCCUAUAUAUUGUCUCAUACAUCAUUUGCAUUGUUUUGUUCUACAAUAUAAGAGAAAGACAAAACAAGUGAUUACACAAUAUAAACAGACUGGGUAUGCUCCACCACAACAAAUUAGGAAGAAACAGGGUGCUUAAUCGAACCUGCCAGUAAAGAAUUCUUUGUGUAGGAGCACCAGUUGGAUUACCCUCGGGCCACAUAGGAACUACUAUGUAUGCAGAAAACCUCUCUUUUGCCUUAAUCUUGUUUGCAAUUUUGAGAGCAAUUUCAAUUGGUACCAAAUUGUUAGCCCCUGAAAGACAACAAUUUUACCAUCAUGAGUUGGGAUCAAUCAAAGAAUUUGGUAUAUUCUGCAUUUUCAUUAGAUGGACACAGAAUCAAGGAGUUGUAUCAGAAAUGGAUACAACUGGACUGUGCACUAAUAUUCUUCUAAGGAUGGGUGUCUGUUCAUUAGUCAGAUCAUACAAAAGAAGAAACAGAGAACUCUAGAACAUGAUUACCAAUAUCUUUGUUUGAAUCCCAAUUAAAUGAAGAACCGAUGAAGUAUUGGUUCUCAAUGUAAAUAAAGUGUUGGGCUGCCCUGAUGGCAUUCACAUAAGCUGUAUGUAUGCUCAUAUCAAUUAGUACAUUCUUCCCACAGACAAGAUUCUGUUAGCAAAAAUAAAAGUGUUAGUCAGCAGCACAAACUGUAGAAUAUAAUGUCAUGUUGUGUUUCGGUUUAUCAGUUACCUUCAUGGUUGCUACUCGUGGGUCCUUUGGAAAUCCCUUGGCAGAGUUUGAGUCAAUAGAGCGAAACACCUAUUUUUUAAAGUAAAAGGAGACUAAGAGAGUUGAACGCCUGAGUCAAAACAAGAAGGAGAACACUUUGAAUCUCCCAUUACAGAAAACUGUAAAUACCUGAACAUGCCAUGUCUCUGGGUCAUUGUCGCUAAAAUAAAUUGCAUCAUCAAUGUUUACAAUAUCAUGUAUUCUUUCAAUCUUGAGAAGUGCAUCAUCGUUUGAUUUCCCCAACUUUUUAAUCCCAUGGCGUUUGGAUGCCUUCAACCAACGCUCCUCAAAGUUCUUCAGAACAUCAUAAGCUGCUGGACCAUCGAUCCUGGAAUGCAAGUCAUGCCAUGGUUCCCUUGGGCCACGGGCAUCAACUGUCUGCAAGCAGAUGACAAGGACAAAUACUUUCAGAGCAGUGACAAAAAUAAACUGAGAAUAUGGUGACAUGCAAUUAUUAUUCCUAGUACAAGAUGAUCUCCUUCUGAUGACUAAGAACCAAACAUCACAAAAGGUUCCUACUCUUCUCAAAAUUAAGACUAUGGUAACUGUUACUCAGUACAUGAGAAACUGAACCAACACACAAGUAUGUCUUUCUAAACAAUCUGCUUCAAGACACAAGUAUAUGAUAAGGAAUCAGAAACUUACAGCAAAGUUUGGAUUGUAAUAAUCCUCCUUGUGUGAAGUUUGAAGAGUCUGAAACAGAGGAUGCCCAGGUGUAUCAUAGCGCCCACCGCACAAAUCAAGACCUCCGACAAAAGCAAUUAUUUUUCUCCUAUAAUUGCCGGCAUCAGCAUCCACAAUAACUGUUUUCUGAUGAUGAGUAAAAAUGGUUCCUGUUUCCUGGUUUUCAAGACCUUCAUAUGUUAAACAAAUGGCACUAAUGAUUGGUACAAUACAAUACUUGAUAUACCAUAGAACUGCAUUUUGUGAUUAGAUAUAUUAUAUUUAUUUUACUGGCCAAACAGUGAACCUACUCGGAAGUAUAUAACACAACAGCAUGAUAUAUCAUAUAACAUCCAAGGAUACAUAAGUCAUGGCUGGUAGAUAAAUGAAACCAUUCACAUUCACUACGUGCAGUGAACAUAUAGUUUCAGUGAAACAAAUUAUCUAUUAUAAUGGAUAAAUUGUGGGCCAUCACGGCAGGGAUAACCUGCUGUUUCACCCAGCUGUGACGCUUCCCAGCAGAUCUUGGGCAAAGCAAUACUUGAACUGAAGAGUGCUUGAAAAACCGACGUGUUUCCUCAUCUCGUGUGCCCAUGAAACCAUCCUACAAGUACAUCAAUUCCCAAAAUCAGGAAUGGGGCCAGACAUGGAAUAUGCAUCUAACGAAAAUAACAUCGAAAAUACAGGCAGUAGUUUCAGGAAUAUCCUCUCGAUAUUGUUUAAUAUGACAGCUAGAUAUUUUAGUAACUCCUUUACUUGAUAACAUUAGAUAUGAUGGUAUGUUUACAGCAACAAACAUGUAUGGGCUAUGCCAUCCUUUAAUAAGGUGAGCAUCUAAACAUUUGAAAAGACAUAACAAUGUUGUUCUAUAAAUUAUCAGUUUGAAUGCAAGAUAUGUUGUUCAUGUACUGUCCCUCAAAAAAAAGUUCCUCAUGUAGUGUAAAGACCUCGAGACAGCAGUUUGGACUCUAUGAAUAAUUCAUACCAUCUUAAAGCCGAGAAUACUCCUUGAUGUUGGAUCAUCCCAUACAAGAAGCAAUACCCUAACGCCUUCCUGCGACUUCAUCUUCAACAGGUCCCCAAGUGAUGGUGCCUUCUCAGCUCCAUCCCGUAUGAGGUCGAUCGUGUGGAACACUGACCAACCCACAAUGUAAAUCAACCGCCGUGCCUGGCUUAUGGCAUUGUACAUGUCACGCCAGCAUUGCCCAUGUUGGUAGCGCAAUCCAUGAUCAAGCCAGAUAUCUGGGAGAGAACCAUCGGGCACAUGUGCAUCCUGAUAGAGGGUCACCCUCAUGCCACGGCGUAGCGGGAAGUAAGUAUUGGGCACUCCAAGGCAGUCCGGACCAGCAAUGACACCAUGGUGGUACAUUGUAAGGCGAGCCACUGGGAUGUACUGAAUAGAGAGCUGUAAUACAGCACCAGGAGCGCACGGCUUGCCAUUGGGCUCUAGCACAGGGUAGAUGCCCUCAAUCCUGUCCCCAGAAAGGAGAUUCUCGGCAGGGAUGGCCACAGUUCCCAUGAGCUGAGCUCCGAAGACAUCGCUGUCCUUGACGACGAACUCAACCUCAGCAGCCUCAUGGCCAACAGGCACAUGGAAGUUCUGCGCCCAAACAGGGUUCUCGCUAUUGGAAACGACGUAGGUGCGAGCGACGGUGGCAUAGGAGACCUGGAUGGUGACGUAGGGGUCGCUUGUCAUUUUAGAGUUGGACUUGCCGCCUACGGAGAGGAGCUCGCUGACCCUCUUGGAGAACAUGUCCUUGUUGGGGAGGUUCUUGGCCUCGUGCACCCAAAUGUCGAGGCUGCCAUGGAGCAGCACCACUUUCAGCGACGCCCUCAUGCUGCCAUGCUGUGACCCUCCGGCCACGGUACCGUACGGCACCAUCUGCAUCCCUCCACCGUUUGAGAAGGAGGCAGAAUGCGGUAGUACGGAGGGCGACGACAUGGGCGCCGGCGUGUAGUCAUGGCGGCCGGAGAGGUGCAUGUUGGCGAACCCAUCGACGAUGGGAUAGUGCAGUGCGGAGGCCGCGGGUGAUUCGGGGGCCGAGGGAUGGGGCUGAUGGUGGAAGCUGGAGCUAGGGGAGAUCGCCGGACUCGGGUAGUAGGCCGCGGGGGAUUCAGGGGCCGAGGGAUGGGGCUGGUNNNNNNNNNNNNNNNNNNNNNNNNNNNNNNNNNNNNNNNNNNNNNNNNNNNNNNNNNNNNNNNNNNNNNNNNNNNNNNNNNNNNNNNNNNNNNNNNNNNNNNNNNNNNNNNNNNNNNNNNNNNNNNNNNNNNNNNNNNNNNNNNNNNNNNNNNNNNNNNNNNNNNNNNNNNNNNNNNNNNNNNNNNNNNNNNNNNNNNNNNNNNNNNNNNNNNNNNNNNNNNNNNNNNNNNNNNNNNNNNNNNNNNNNNNNNNNNNNNNNNNNNNNNNNNNNNNNNNNNNNNNNNNNNNNNNNNNNNNNNNNNNNNNNNNNNNNNNCGGGUAGGGGUCGUAACCGUACGGCGAGGGAGACGGCGGUGGGUACCCGUGCUGCUGCGAGUGCGGCGGGUACGCGUGCUGCGGAUGCGGAGGGUAGGCCUGCUGCUGGUGCGGCGCCGGCGGCGGGUAGGGCUGGAGAGGGCCGGAGUGGUGCGCGAACUGCUGCGGCGGCGCGGGGGAGUAGGCCGGGAAGGAGGUCGAGGGAGCGAGGUAGGGGGACGCCGGCGCGGCGGACAGCGGCGGGUACUGCUGGUGCUGGUAGGGGUACGGGUAGGGCUCCGGCUGCGGAUGCGGCGGGUACUGGUGGUACUGGUGCGGCGGCUGCCCCUGCCCCCCGUGGUUGCUUCCCUCCAUUGCCGAUCUCGCUGCGGGUGUGUAUCCCUAGAUUGUUUUCCCCCGAAUUGUUCGAUCCGGCUCUCGCCGCCCAGUCGUCGGUUUGACGAAGGUGAGGGGGGCGCGGCUAGGGGCGGCGGCCGCGGGGUGGCGUGCGUGAAAAUGGUGGAGUCGUGGGCGGCGACCACGACGGAAAUGAGAUCGAAAUCGGGGACGGUCGUUGGGGUUGGCCGGGCCCGGGACGGCGGCCAAGGCCAACUGGGUUCCCCACGCCCGGCCGGAUGUGGACGCUGACCAGUUCCCUCGCUCGAUUCUGAACCGGCCCUCGGUUCCAACGUUCGGGUUCUGUCCGUGCGGUGCGAUGCUGCGUACACGGACGGCCCACAUGUCAUCCUCCGCUGGACGCAACUCCGGAAGAUAACGUGACGGGAUGCGAUUACGCCUUGUUUUGACUUCGAUUUGAUUAGUUUUGGCUUUCUGACAAAUUUUAUUAAAUUAGUUAGUGCUGAUGAACUCUUCUUCUAGCCGAAGUGCUCGUUCCCCUGAACCUGGCACGAAUCUGUAGCUUUGGAAUGGGAAUUAAGCGUUGUUUAGUGGAUCCGUGGAGGCGGAUCAGAAUCAAUUUCUUCUGUACUGACUACUGCAUCCGCAUCCCAAAAGCUCAUGGAUUGGACGUCAAAAGUGUGCUAUAUUUCAGUUCAUUUAUUUUCUCUUAAUUCACCUCCUUAGCAUUCUUUUAAGAAAUUGCUUUUAGCAUUCCUAGCCACAUCCAUAGUCGCCACAGGGUGUGCGAUGACAACUCUAAAUAGAGGAGUAUUUUGUUUAGCUUAGCACUCCUCAAUAAUUGCAGCGGUGGUGCUAUUUCCUUUCUAUCUUCAACACCUAUUAUCACAUCCCUUGGCUAUGAUCUCACCGAGAUGACAAUUCAGGCAACCAGUACACUAGAGGUAACUUUCAUACAUCGCGUGGUCUUGCAUCCUUCGGCGACAUUCAAUGGAUGCCAGUUAUGGGCAACAACAAUUUCUUUGCAUGUGCCAUAAAAUUUCUCCUCCUCGUGUCUUACUGGCUAAGAAAUUGCCUUACUUGCUAAGAAAUGCCUGCGCACAAUCGUGUAUGCAGCGGGUAGACGAGACGAUGGAACAGUCUUCUUAGACAUGGGUUUUUUCUCUAUCUUGCUUCAUGGUGUUCAAGCAGUGCGUCUAAAAAGCUGUGAUUCAUGGGAGGGAGCAGUUUCUAUUGCUUUGGUUGUGAAAACUCUUGGUCUGAGUAUAUGUGCUUGUACACGAUACGCACAGGGCGUCAUAGAGCGUCACUAAUAUAUGGCAACGUGGCAAUUUUCCUGUCAUUUUUUUACCACUUGGCAACUUUUGCUUUAGAGCCUAACAAAUCCCUUACAAACAGUAUGGCAGAUUUAUCUGUUUUCGCAUGUUAAUUCUGGUCAAAUUUGGCGUUUGUUUUUUAACAAUUUUCAUUUUAAAUUGGUCCUAUGGUGGGUCUCAAUAGUUAUGUUAUAGCGUACUAAAAAACCUUCACUGUAUAAGCCCCUGGUUGGCUCUUAAGAGCGGUCUUACAUAUCAGAAAUUAUUUUCCACGUGUUAGAAGCUAGGCAACACCAGUGCCAAAAGCAUGACCAGUUGACAAAUGCUACUACUAUUUUUCUUUAUGGAAGUAAAUUAUACUAUUACUAGCUAACUACAUGUGCAAUGUAACAAGGACAACUUUAUUCUAGUGGUUGAACAUAAGAAAUUUUUGAUUAGGUUCAGAUUGAGAUAUGUUAUGGAGGGGGGGGUCCAUAAGCAAAUGUAAGGAAGAUACGAUACAAUUCAGAUUGCGUACGUACAACUAUGUAAGUUGAUUUUAUUUUAUUUUUUUCUUGCAAAGAAUUUCUUGUUAUUGCCAUUUUUUAUUUCUGUUGAUUGAUUUGCUAGGGAUUUAUUUCCCCAUAAACGAGGAGGUGGGGAUCGGUUUGGAGAAACUGGGGUUAUCGCGUGGUUUCGAGAAAAAAAACGGUGUGAGGGGUGAAAGCGAUGGAAGCGAAACCAACAAACUCCCCUUUAAUAGUAGAGAUUGUAUCCAAUGUUACACUAUACCCGGUUCAGUCGAGUCAUACUGGAUGAAAUUCCAAGGUUCCUCUAAAGUCGUCGCAACCGCAUGGAUGACCCCCUGGCAGGCUAGGCCCUCUCCGGCGACUCCAACUCCUCUUCGCCAAACCUACUCCCUUCAUACUUGGAGCAACCGCCAUAUUGAAAGCGUGAAGCUCCGAUUCCUUUUCGCAAAAGAGAUUAUUCGAUGCUUCGACAUUGCACAUGAGCAGUGUACCCUUUCUGUUGGGGAACGUAGUAAUUCAAAAAAAAUCCUACGAUCACGCAAGAUCUAUCUAGGAUAAGCGUAGCAACGAGCGGGGAGAGUGUGUCCACGUACCCUCGUAGACCGAAAGCGGAAGCGUUUAGUAACGCGGUUGAUGUAGUCGAACGUCUUCACGAUCCAACUGAUCCAAGUACCGAACGUACGGCACCUCCGUGUUCAGCACACGUUCAGCACAAUGACGUCCCUCGAGCUCUUGAUCUAGUAGAGGGUCGAGGGAGAGUUCCGUCAGCACGACGGCGUGGCGACGGUGUUGGUGAUGUGAUCCGCGCAGGGCUUCGCCUAAGCACUACGACAAUAUGACCGAGGUGGUAAACUAUGGAGGGGGGCACCGCACAUGGCUAAGAAACAACUGUUGUGCUUUGGGGUGCCCCCUGGCCACGUAUAUAAAGGAGGGGGAGGAGGAGGCCGACGGCCAAGGAGGGCGUGCCAAGGGGGGAGUCCUACUAGGACUCCGUUCCUAGUAGGAUUCGGCUGAAAGGAAAUAUGCCCUAGAGGCAAUAAUAAAGUUGUUAUUUAUAUUUCCUUAUAUCAUGAUAAAUGUUUAUUAUUCAUGCUAGAAUUGUAUUAAAUGGAAACUUAGUACAUGUGUGAAUACAUAGACAAACAGAGUAUCACUAGUAUGCCUCUACUUGACUAGCUCGUUGAAUCAAAGAUGGUUAAGUUUCCUAGCCAUAGACAUGAGUUGUCAUUUGAUUAACGGGAUCACAUCAUUAGAGAAUGAUGUGAUUGACUUGACCCAUUCCGUUAGCCUAGCACUUGAUCGUUUAGUUUAUUUGUUAUUGCUUUCUUCAUGACUUAUACAUGUUCCUAUGACUAUGAGAUUAUGCAACUCCCGAAUACCGGAGGAACACUUAGUGUGCUACCAAACGUCACAACGUAACUGGGUGAUUAUAAAGGUGCUCUACAGGUGUCUCCGAUGGUGUUUGUUGAGUUGGCAUAGAUCGAGAUUAGGAUUUGUCACUCCGAUUGUCGGAGAGGUAUCUCUGAGCCCUCUCGGUAAUGCACAUCACUAUAAGCCUUGCAAGCAAUGUGACUAAUGAGUUAGUUGCGGGAUGAUGCAUUACGGAACGAGUAAAGAGACUUGCCGGUAACGAGAUUGAACUAGGUAUUGAGAUACCGACGAUCGAAUCUCGGGCAAGUAACAUACCGAUGACAAAGGAAACAACGUAUGUUGUUAUGUGGUUUGACCGAUAAAGAUCUUCGCAGAUUAUGUGGGAUCCAAUAUGAACAUCCAGGUUCCGCUAUUGGUUAUUGACCGGAGACGUGUCUCGGUCAUGUCUACAUAUUUCUCGAACCCGUAGGGUCCGCACGCUUACGUUCGGUGACGAUCAGUAUUACGAGUUUAUGUGUUUUGAUGUACCGAAGGUAGUUCGGAGUCCCGGAUAUGAUCACGGACAUGACGAGGAGUCUCGAAAUGGUCGAGACAUAAAGAUCGAUAUAUUGGAUGACUAUGUUUGGACAUCGGAAUGGUUCCGAGUGAGUUCGGGCAUUACCGGAGUACCGGAAGGUUACCGGAACCCCCCGGGAAGUAUAUGGGCCUUAUUGGGCCAUAGUGGGAGAGAAGAGAAGGGAGCCUAGGAGGGCCCCCCCAAGCCCAAUCCGAAUUGGGUGGGGGGCCGCCCCCCCUUCCUUCCUCCUUCCUCCCCCUUCCUUCCUCUCCUAGUCCAACUAGGGAAGGGGGGAAUCCUACUCCCGGUGGGAGUAGGACUGCUCCAAGGCGCGCCAUAGAGGGCCGGCCCUCCCCCCUCCUCCACUCCUUUAUAUACGGGGGAAGGGGGCACCCCAUAGACACACAAGUUGACAUUGUCUUAGCCGUGUGCGGUGCCCCCCUCCACCAUAAUCCACCUCGGUCAUACCGUUGUAGUGCUUAGCGAAGCCCUGCAUUGGUAACUUCAUCAUCACUGUCAUCACGCCGUCGUUCUGACGAAGCUCUCCCUCGACACUCAGCUGGAUCGAGAGUUCGUGGGACGUCACCGAGCUGAACGUGUGCAGAUCGCGGAGGUGCCGUACUUUUGGUACUAGGAUCGGUCGAAUCGUGAAGACGUAUGACUACAUCAACUGCGUUGUCAUAACGCUUUCGCUUUCAGUCUACGAGGGUACGUAGACAUCACUCUCCCCUCUCGUUGCUAUGAAUCACCUAGAUGGAUCUUGCGUGUGCGUAGGAAUUUUUUUGAAAUUACUGCGUUCCCCAACAGUGGCAUCCGAGCCAGGUCUAUGCGUAGAUGUUAUAUGCAUGAGUAGAACACAAAGAGUUGUGGGCGAUAAUAGUCAUACUACUUACCAGCAUGCCAUACUUUGAUUCGGCGGUAUUGUUGGAUGAAGCGGACCGGACCGACAUUACGCGUACGCUUACGCGAGACUGGUUCUACCGAUGUGCUUCACACACAGGUGGCUGGCGGGUGUCAGUUUCUCCAACUUUAGUUGAAUCGAGUGUGGCUAUGCCCGGUCCUUGUUGAAGGUUAAAACAGCACACUUGACGAAAAACCGUUGUGGUUUUGAUGCGUAGGUAAGAACGGUUCUUGCUCAGCCCGUAGCAGCCACGUAAAAACUUGCAACAACAAAGUAGAGGACGUCUAACUUGUUUUUGCAGGGCAUGUUGUGAUGUGAUAUGGUCAAGACGUGAUUAUAUAAAUUGUUGUAUGAAAUGAUCAUGUUUUGUAACACACUUAUCGGCAACUGGCAGGAGCCAUAUGGUUGUCGCUUUAUUGUAUGAAAUGCAAUCGCCAUGUAAUUGCUUUACUUUAUCACUAAGCGGUAGCGAUAGUCGUAGAAGCAAUAGUUGGCGAGACGACAACGAUGCUUCGAUGGAGAUCAAGGUGUCAAGCCGAUGACGAUGGUGAUCAUGACGGUGCUUUGGAGAUGGAGAUCAAAGGCACAAGAUGAUGAUGGCCAUAUCAUAUCACUUAUAUUGAUUGCAUGUGAUGUUUAUCAUUUAUGCAUCUUAUUUUGCUUAGUUCGGCGGUAGCAUUAUAAGAUGAUCUCUCACUAAAUUUCAAGGUACAAGUGUUCUCCCUGAGUAUGCACCAUUGCGGAAGUUCGUCGUGCCGAGACACCACGUGAUGAUCGAGUGUGAUAAGCUCUACGUUCACAUACAACGGGUGCAAGCCAGUUUUGCACACGUAGAAUACUCGUGUUAAACUUGACGAGCCUACCAUAUGCAGAUAUGGCCUCGGAACACUGAGACCGAAAGGUCGAGCGUGAAUCAUAUAGUGGAUAUGAUCAACAUAGUGAUGUUCACCAUUAAAAACUACUCCAUCUCACGUGAUGAUCGGACAUGGUUUAGUUGAUUUGGAUCACGUGAUCACUUAGAUGAUUAGAGGGAUGUCUAUCUAAGUGGGAGUUCUUAAGUAAUAUGAUUAAUUGAGCUUUAAUUUAUCAUGAACUUGGUACCUGAUAGUAUUUUGCAUGUCUAUGUUGUUGUAGAUAGAUGGCCCGUGCUGUUGUUCCGUUGAAUUUUAAUGCGUUCCUAAAGAAAGCUAAGUUGAAAGAUGAUGGUAGCAACGGUCUAGCUCCGUAACUUGAGGAUUAUCCUCAUUGCUGCACAGAAGAAUUACAUCCUGGAAGCACCGCUGGGUGCCAAACCCGCUGCAGGAGCAACGCCAGAUGUUAUGAACGUCUGGCAGAGCAAAGCUGAUGACUACUCGAUAGUUCAGUGUGCCAUGCUUUACGACUUAGAACCGGGACUUCAACGAUGUUUUGAACAUCAUGGAGCAUAUGAGAUGUUCCAGGAAUUGAAGUUAAUAUUUCAAGCAAAUGCCCGGAUUCAGAGAUAUGAAGUCUCCAAUAAGUUCUACAACUGCAAAAUGGAGGAGAAUAGUUCUAUCAGUGAGCAUAUACUCAAAAUGUCUGGGUAUAACAAUCACUUAAUUCAACUGGGAGUUAAUCUUCUAGAUGAUAGUGUCAUUGAUAGAAUUUUUCAAUCACUGCCACCAAGCUACAAGAGCUUCGUGAUGAACUAUAAUAUGCAAGGGAUGGAUAAGACAAUUCCCGAGCUCUUCGCAAUGCUAAAGGCUGCGGAGGUAGAAAUCAAGAAAGAGCAUCAAGUGUUGAUGGUCAACAAGACCACCAAUUUCAAGAAAAAGGGUAAAGGGAAGAAGGGGAACUUCAAGAAGAACGACAAGCAAGUUGCUGCUCAAGUGAAGAAGCCCAAGUCUGGACCUAAGCCUGAGACUGAGUGCUUCUACUGCAAAGGGACUGGUAACUUGAAGCGGAACUGCCCCAAGUAUUUGGCGGAUAAGAAGGAUGGCAAGGUGAACAAAGGUAUAUGUGAUAUACAUGUUAUUGAUGUGUACCUUACUAAUGCUCGCAGUAGUGCCUGGGUAUUUGAUAUUGGUUCUGUUGCUAAUAUUUGCAACUCAAAACAGGGACUACGGAUUAAGCGAAGAUUGGCUAAGGACGAGGUGACGAUGCGUGUGGGAAAUGGUUCCAAAGUCGAUGUGAUCGCCGUCGGCAUGCUACCUCUACAUCUACCUUCGGGAUUAGUUUUAGACCUGAAUAAUUGUUAUUUGGUGCCAGCGUUAAGCAUGAACAUUAUAUCUGGAUCCUGUUUGAUGCGAGACGUUAUUCAUUUAAAUUAGAGAAUAAUGGUUGUUCUAUUUAUGGUCAUGCACCUUUGAAGAGUGGUCUAUUUUUGUUGAAUCUCGAUAGUAGUGAAACACAUAUUCAUAAUAUUGAAGCCAAAAUAUGCAGAGUUGAUAAUGAUAGUGCAACUUAUUUGUGGCACUGCCGUUUAGGUCAUAUUGGUGUAAAGCGCAUGAAGAAACUCCAUUCUGAUGGACUUUUGGAAUCACUUGGUACUUGCGAACCAUGCCUCAUGGGCAAGAUGACUAAAACUCCGUUCUCCGGAACAAUAGAGCGAGCAACAGAUUUGUCGGAAAUCAUACAUACUGAUGUAUGUAGUCCGAUGAAUAUUGAGGCUCGCGGCGGGUAUCGUUAUUUUCUCACCUUCAUAGAUGAUUUGAGCAGAUAUGGGUAUAUCUACUUAAUAAAACAUAAGUCUGAAACAUUUGAAAAGUUCAAAGAAUUUCAGAGUGAAGUGGAAAAUCAUCGUAACAAGAAAAUAAAGUUUCUACGAUCUGAUCGCGGAGGAGAAUAUUUGAGUUACGAGUUUGGUCUUCAUUUGAAACAAUACGGAAUAGUUUCAGAACUCACGCCACCCGGAACACCACAGCGUAAUGGUGUGUCCGAACGUCGUAAUCGUACUUUACUAGAUAUGGUGCGAUCUAUGAUGUCUCUUACUGAUUUACCGCUAUCGUUUUGGGGUUAUGCUUUAGAGACGGCUGCAUUCACGUUAAAUAGGGCACCAUCUAAAUCUGUUGAGACGACACCUUAUGAACUGUGGUUUGGCAAGAAACCCAAGUUGUCGUUUCUUAAAGUUUGGGGCUGCGAUGCUUAUGUGAAAAAGCUUCAACCUGAUAAGCUUGAACCCAAAUCGGAGAAAUGUGUCUUCAUAGGAUACCCAAAGGAGAUUGCUGGGUACACCUUCUAUCAUAGAUUCGAAGGCAAGACAUUCGUUGCUAAGAAUGGAUCCUUUCUAGAGAAGGAGUUUCUCUCGAAAGAAGUGAGUGGGAGGAAAGUAGAACUUGAUGAGGUAACUGUACCUGCUCCCUUAUUGGAAAGUAGUUCAUCACAGAAAUCAGUUCAUGUGACUCAUACACUAAUUAGUGAGGAAGCUAAUGACGGUGAUCAUAUAACUUCAGAUCAAGUUACUACUGAACCUCGUAGGUCAACCAGAGUAAGAUCUGCACCAGAGUGGUACAGUAAUCCUAUUCUGGAGGUCAUGUUACUUGACCAUGACGAACCUACGAACUAUGAGGAAGCGACGAUGAGCCCAGAUUCCGCAAAAUGGCUUGAGGCCAUGAAAUCUGAGAUGGGAUCCAUGUAUGAGAACAAAGUGUGGACUUUGGUUGACUUGCCCGUUGAUCGGCAAGCCAUCGAGAAUAAAUGGAUCUUCAAGAAGAAGACUGACGCUGACGGUCAUGUUACUGUCUACAAAGCUUGACUUGUUGUGAAAGGUUUUUGACAAAUUCAAGGAGUUGACUACGAUGAGACUUUCUCACCCGUAGCGAUGCUUAAGUCCGUUCGAAUCAUGUUAGCAAUUGCUGCAUUUUAUGAUUAUGAAAUUUGGCAAAUGGAUGUAAAGACUGCAUUCCUGAAUAAGAGUUGUAUAUGAUGCAACCUGGAGGUUUUAUCAAUCCAAAGGAUGCUAACAAAGUGUGCAAGCUCCAGCGAUCCAUUUAUGGACUGGUGCAAGCAUCUCGGAGUUGGAAUAAACGUUUUGAUAGAGUGAUCAAAGCAUAUGGUUUUAUACAGACUUUCAGAGAAGCCUGUAUUUACAAGAAAGUGAGUGGGAGCUCUGUAGCAUCUCUAAUAUUAUAUGUGGAUGACAUAUUGUUGAUUGGAAAUGAUAUAGAAUUUCUGGAUAGCAUAAAAGGAUACUUGAAUAAGAGUUUUUCAAUGAAAGACCUCUGUGAAGCUGCUUAUAUAUUGGGCAUCAAGAUCUAUAGAGAUAGAUCGAGACGCUUAAUUGGACUUUCACAAUGCACAUACCUUGAUAAAGUUUUGAAGAAGUUCAAAAUGGAUCAAGCAAAGAAAGGGUUCUUACCUGUGUUACAAGGUGUGAAGUUGAGUCAGACUCAAUGCCCGACCACUACAGAAGAUAGAGAGAAAAUGAAAGCCACUCCCUAUGCUUCAGCCAUAGGUUCUAUCAUGUAUGCAAUGCUGUGUACCAGACCUGAUGUGUGCCUUGCUAUUAGUUUAGCAGGGAGGUACCAAAGUAAUCCAGGAGUGGAUCACUGGAUAGCGGUCAAGAACAUCCUGAAAUACCUGAAAAGGACUAAGGAUAUGUUUCUCGUUUAUGGAGGUGACAAAGAGCUCGUCGUAAAUGGUUACGUCGAUGCAAGCUUUGACACUAAUCCGGAUGACUCUAAGUCACAAACCGGAUACGUGUUUAUAUUGAACGGUGGAGCUGUCAGUUGGUGCAGUUCUAAGCAAAGCAUCGUGGCGGGAUCUACGUGUGAAGCGGAGUACAUAGCUGCUUUGGAAGCAGCAAAUGAAGGAGUAUGGAUGAAAGAGUUCAUAUCCGAUCUAGGUGUCAUACCUAGUGCAUCGGGUCCAAUGAAAUUCUUUUGUGACAAUACUGGUGCAAUUGCCUUGGCAAAGGAAUCCAGAUUUCACAAGAGAACCAAGCACAUCAAGAGACGCUUCAAUUCCAUCCGCGAUCAAGUCAAGGAGGGAGACAUAGAGAUUUGCAAGAUACAUACGGAUCUGAAUGUUGCAGACCCGUUGACUAAGCCUCUCUCACGAGCAAAACAUGAUCAGCACCAAGACUCCAUGGGUGUUAGAAUCAUUACUGUGUAAUCUAGAUUAUUGACUCUAGUGCAAGUGGGAGACUGAAGGAAAUAUGCCCUAGAGGAAAUAAUAAAGUUGUUAUUUAAAUUUCCUUAUAUCAUGAUAAAUGUUUAUUAUUCAUGCUAGAAUUGUAUUAACCGGAAACAUAGUACAUGUGUGAAUACAUAGACAAACAGAGUGUCACUAGUAUACCUCUACUUCACUAGCUCGUUGAUUCAACGAUGGUUAAGUUUCCUACCCAUAGACAUGAGUUGUCAUUUGAUUAACGGUAUCACAUCAUUAGAGAAUGAUGUGAUUGACUUGACCCAUUCCGUUAGCCUACCACUUGAUCGUUUAGUUUAUUUGCUAUUGCUUUCUUCAUGACUUAUACAUGUUCCUAUGACUAUGAGAUUAUGCAACUCCCGAAUACCGGAGGAACACUUAGUGUGCUACCAAACGUCACAACGUAACUGGGUGAUUAUAAAGGUGCUCUACAGGUGUCUCCGAUGGUGUUUGUUGAGUUGGCAUAGAUCGAGAUUAGGAUUUGUCACUCCGAUUGUCGGAGAGGUAUCUCUGAGCCCUCUCGGUAAUGCACAUCACUAUAAGCCUUGCAAGCAAUGUGACUAAUGAGUUAGUUGCGGGAUGGUGCAUUACGGAACGAGUAAAGAGACUUGCCGGUAACGAGAUUGAACUAGGUAUUGAGAUACCGACGAUCGAAUCUCGGGCAAGUAACAUACCGAUGACAAAAGGAACAACGUAUGUUGUUAUGCGGUUUGACCGAUAAAGAUCUUCGUAGAAUAUGUGGUAGCCAAUAUGAACAUCCAGGUUCCGCUAUUGGUUAUUGACCAGAGACGUGUCUCGGUCAUGUCUACAUAGUUCUCGAACCCGUAGGGUCCGCACGCUUAACGUUCGGUGACGAUCGGCAUUAUGAGUUUAUGUGUUUUGAUGUACCGAAGGUAGUUUGGAGUCCCGGAUAUGAUCAUGGACAUGACGAGGAGUCUCGAAAUGGUCGAGACAUAAAGAUCGAUAUAUUGUAUGACUAUGUUUGGACAUCGAAUGGUUCCGAGUGAGUUCGGGCAUUUACCGGAGUACCGGGAGGUUACCGGAACCCCCCGGGAAGUAUAUGGGCCUUAUUGGGCCAUAGUGGUAGAGAGGAGAAGGGAGACUAGGAGGGCCCCCCCCCAGCCCAAUCCGAAUUGGGUGCCCCCCCCUUUCCUUCCUCCUUCCUCCCCCUUCCUUCCUCUCCUAGUCCAACUAGGGAAGGGGGGAAUCCUACUCCCGGUGGGAGUAGGACUCCUCCAGGGCGCGCCAUAGAGGGCCGACCCUCCCCCCUCCUCCACUCCUUUAUAUACGGGGGAAGGGGGCAUCCCAUAGACACACAAGUUGACAUUGUCUUAGCCGUGUGCGGUGCCCCCUCCACCAUAAUCCACCUCGGUCAUAUACCGUUGUAGUGCUUAGGCGAAGCCCUGCGCCGGUAACUUCAUCAUCACCGUCAUCACGCCGUCGUGCUGAUGAAGCUCUCCCUCGACACUCAGCUGGAUCGAGAGUUCUUCGAACAUCACCCAGCUGAACGUGUGCAGAUCGCGGAGGUGCCGUACUUUCGGUACUAGGAUCGGUCGGAUCGUGAAGACGUACGACUACAUCAACCGUGUUGUCAUAACACUUCCGCUUUCGGUCUACGAGGGUACGUAGACAUCACUAUCCCCUCUCAUUGCUAUGCAUCACCUAGAUGGAUCUUGCGUGUGCGUAGGAAAUUUUUUGAAAUUACUACGUUCCCCAACAUCCGCCCCCACUCCUUCCAUCUAACGGAGAGGGGACAGGGGAAAGGAGGGAGAGAGAGAAGGAUUGGGCUUGGGGGGGCGCCACCUCCUGUGGCAGCUUUGCUCUCUCCACUAUGGCCCAAUAGGCCCAUUAACUUUCCCGGGGGGUUCUGGUAACCUCCCGGUACUCCGAAAAAUCACCGAUCUUCUUCGAAACCAUUCCGGUGUCCGUAUAUAACCUUCCAAUAUAUCAAUCUUUACCUCUCGACCAUUUCGAGACUCCUCGUCAUGUCCGUGAUCUAAUCCGGGACUCCGAACAAACUUCGGUCACCAAAACACAUAACUCAUAAUACAAAUCAUCAUCGAACGUUAAGUGUGCGGACCCUACGGGUUCAAGAACUAUGUAGACAUGACCGAGACACAUCUCCGGUCAAUAACCAAUAGCGGAACCUGGAUGCUCAUAUUGGCUCCUACAUAUUCUACGAAGAUCUUUAUCGGUCAAACCGCAUAACAAUAUACGUUAUUCCCUUUGUCAUCGGUAUGUUACUUGCCCAAGAUUCGAUCGUCGGUAUCAUCAUACCUAGUUCAAUCUCGUUACCGGCAAGUCUCUUUACUCGUUCUGUAAUGCAUCAUCCUGUAACUAACUCAUUAAUCACAUUGCUUGCAAGGCUUAUAGUGAUGUGCAUUACCGAGAGGGCCCAGAGAUACCUCUCCGAUACACGAAGUGACAAAUCCUAAUCUCAAUCUAUGCCAACUCAACAAACACCUUCGGAGACACAUGUAAAGCAUCUUUAUAAUCACCCAGUUAUGUUGUGACAUUUGAUAGCACACAAGGAGUUCCUCCGGAAUUCGGGAGUUGCAUAAUCUCAUAGUCAGAGGAAUAUGUAUAAGUCAUGAAGAAAGCAAUAGCAAUAAAACUAAACGAUCAUAAUGCUAAGCUAACGGAUGGGUCUUGUCCAUCACAUCAUUCUCUAAUGAUGUGAUCCCGUUCAUCAAAUGACAACACAUGUUUAUGGUCAGGAAACUUAACCAUCUUUGAUUAGCGAGCUAGUCAAGUAGAGGCAUACUAGGGACACUGUGUUUGUCUAUGUAUUCACUCAUGUACUGUUGGGGAACAUAGCAAUAAUUCAAAAUUUUCCUACGUGUCACCAAGAUCAAUCUAGGAGAUGCUAGCAACGAGAGAGAGGGAGUGCAUCUUCAUACCCUUGAAGAUCGCUAAGCGGAAGCAUUACAAGAACGCGGUUGAUGGAGUCGUACUCGCGGCGAUUCAAAUCGCGGAAGAUCCGAAAUAGCGCCGAACGGACGGCGCCUCCGCGUUCAACACACGUACAGCCCGGGGACGUCUCCUCCUUCUUGAUCCAGCAAGGGGAGAGGAGAAGUUGAGGGAGAACUCCAGCAGCACGACGGCGUGGUGGCGAUGGAGCUCUUGGUUCUCCGGCAGAGCUUCGCUAAGCACUACGGAGGAGGAGGAGGAGGAGUUGGAGGAGGAGAGGGCUGCGCCAGGCCAGGGGUGCGGCUGCCCUCCCACCCCUCCACUAUAUAUAGGGGCAAGGGAGAGGGGGGUCGGCCCCUUUAGAUCCCAUCUGGUGGGAGGGGCGGCGACCAGGGAGGGUGGCUUGCCCCCCAAGUCAAGGGGGGCGCCCCCUCCAGGGUUUCCCCCAACCCUAGGCGCAUGGGCCCUAGGGGGAGGUUGGUGCCCAGCCCACUUAGGGGCUGGUUCCCUUCCACAUACAGCCCAUAAGGCCCUCCGGGGCAGGUGGACCCUCCCGGUGGACCCCCGGAACCCCUUCGGUGGCCCCGGUACAAUACCGGCAUACCCCUGAACACUUUCGGUGACCGUAUGAUGACUUCCCAUAUAUAAAUCUUUACCUCCGGACCAUUCCGGAACUCCUUGUGACGUCCGGGAUCCUAUCCGGGACUCCGAACAACCUUCAGUAACCACAUACUAUUUCCCAUAACAACUCUAGCGUCACCGAACCUUAAGUGUGUAGACCCUACGGGUUCGGGAACCAUGCAGACAUGACCGAGACACCUCUCCGGCCAAUAACCAAUAGCGGGAUCUGGAUACCCAUAUUGGCUCCCACAUGUUCCACGAUGAUCUCAUCGGAUGAACCACGAUGUCGGGGAUUCAAUCAAUCCCAUAUACAAUUCCCUUUGUCUAUCGGUAUGUUACUUGCCCGAGAUUCGAUCGUCGGUAUCCCAAUACCUCGUUCAAUCUCGUUACCGGCAAGUCUCUUUACUCGUUCCAUAACGCAUGAUCCCGUGGCUAACUCCUUAGUCACAUUGAGCUCAUUACGAUGAUGCAUUACCGAGUGGGCCCAGAGAUACCUCUCCGUCAUACGGAGUGACAAAUCCCAGUCUCGAUUCGUGCCAACCCAACGGACACUUUCGGAGAUACCUGUAGUGCACCUUUAUAGCCACCCAGUUACGUUGUGACGUUUGGUACACCCAAAGCAUUCCUAUGGUAUCCGGGAGUUGCACAAUCUCAUGGUCUAAGGAAACGAUACUUUACAUUAGAAAAGCUCUUAGCAAACGAACUACACGAUCUUGUGCUAUGCUUAGGAUUGGGUCUUGUCCAUCACAUCAUUCUCCUAAUGAUGUGAUCCCGUUAUCAAUGACAUCCAAUGUCCAUGGUCAGGAAACCAUAACCAUCUAUUGAUCAACGAGCUAGUCAACUAGAGGCUUACUAGGGACAUGUUGUGGUCUAUGUAUUCACACAUGUAUUACGGUUUCCAGUUAAUACAAUUAUAGCAUGAACAAUAGACAAUUAUCAUGAACAAGGAAAUACAAUAAUAACCAUUUUAUUAUUGCCUCUAGGGCAUAUUUCCAAUAGUCUCCCACUUGCACUAGAGUCAAUAAUCUAGUUCACAUCACUAUGUGAUUGUAAUGAAUCCAACACCCAUGGGGUUUGUUCAUAUCUCGCUUGUGAGAGAGGUUAUUAGUCAACGGGUCUGAACCUUUCAGAUCCGUGUGUGCUUUACAAAUCUCUAUGUCAUCUUGUAGAUGUACCUACCACGCGCUACUUGGAGCUAUUCCAAAUAACUGCUCUACUAUACGAAUCCGGUUUACUACUCAGAGUCAUCCGGAUUAGUGUCAAAGUUUGCAUCGACGUAACCCUUUACGACGAACUCUUUUACCACCUCCAUAAUCGAGAAAAUUCCUUAGUCCACUAGUUACUAAGGAUAAGUUCGACCGCUGUCAUGUUAUCCAUUCCUGGAUCACUCUUGUACCCCUUGACUAGUUCAUGGCAAGGCACACUUCAGGUGCGGUACACAGCAUAGCAUACUGUAGAGCCUACGUCUUAAGCAUAGGGGACGACCUUCGUCCUUUCUCUCUCUUCUGCCGUGGUCAGGUCUUGAGUCUUACUCAAUACUCACACCUUGUAACACAACCAAGAACUCCUUCUUUGCUGAUCUAUUUUGAACUCCUUCAAAAUCUUGUCACGGUAUGUAUCCAUUUGAAAGUAUUAUUAAGCGUUUUUGAUCUAUCCUUAUAGAUCUUGAUGCUCAAUGUUCAAGUAGCUUAAUCUAGGUUUUCCAUUGAAACACACUUUUCAAAUAACCCUGUAUGCUUUCCAGAAAUUCUACAUCAUUUCUGAUCAACAAUAUGUUAACAACAUAUACUCAUCAAAAAUUCUAUAGUGCUCCCACUCACUUCUUUGGAAAUACAAGUUUCUCAUAAACUUUGUAAAAAACCCAAAAUCUUUGAUCAUCUCAUCAAAGCGUACAUUCCAACUCCGAGAUGCUUACUCCAGUCCUUAGAAGGAUUGCUGGAGCUUUGCAUACUUGUUAGCAUCUUUCAGGAUUGACAAAACCAUCUGGUUGUAUCACAUACAACCUUUCCUCAAGAAAAUCGUCGAGGAAACAAUGUUUUGACAUCCUAUCUGCAAGAUUUCAUAAAUAAUGCAGUAACUGCUAAUAUAGUUCCAACAGACUCUUAGCAUCGCUACGAGUGAGAAAAUCUCAUCGUAGUCAACUCCUUGAACUUGUCGGAAAACAUCUUAACGACAAGUCGAGCUUUCUUAAUGGUGACACUUACCAUCAUUGUCCGUCUUCCUUUUAAAAUCCAUCUGUACCCAACAGCCUUACGACUAUCAAGUAUUUCUUUCAAAGUCUACACUUUGUUUUUAUACAUGGAUCCUCUCUCGGAUUUUAUGGCCUCGAGCCAUUCGUCGGAAUCCGGGCCCAUCAUCGCUUCUCCAUAGCUCGUAGGUUCACUGUUGUCUAGCAACAUGACUUCCAAGACAGGAUUACGUACCACUCUGAAGUAGCAUGCAUCCUUGUCAUCCUACGAGGUUUGGUAGUGACUUGAUCCGAAGUUUCAUGAUCACUAUCAUAAGCUUCCACUUCAAUUGGUGUAGGUGCCACAGGAACAACUUCCUGUGCCCUGCUACACACUAGUUGAAGUCAUGGUUCAAUAACCUCAUCAAGUCUCCACCAUCCUCCCACUCAAUUCUUUCGAGAGAAACUUUUCCUCGAGAAAGGACCUGUUUCUAGAAACAAUCACUUUGCUUCCGGAUCUGAAAUAGGAGGUAUACCCAACUGUUUUGGGUAUUCUAUGAAGAUGCAUUUAUCCGCUUUGGGUUCGAGCUUAUCAGCCUGAAACUUUUCCACAUAAGCGUCGCAGCCCCAAACUUUUAAGAAACGAUAGCUUAGGUUUCUCUAAACCAUAGUUCAUACGGUGUCGUCUCAACGGAAUUGCGUGGUGCCCUAUUUAAAGUGAAUGCGGUUGUCUCUAAUGCCUAACCCAUAAACGAUAGUGUAAUUCGAUAAGAGACAUCAUGGUAUGCACCAUAUCCAAUAGGGUGCAGUUAUGAUGUUCGGACACACCAUCACACUAUGGUGUUCCAGGCGGUAUUAGUCGUGAAACAAUUUCCACAAUUUCUUAAUUGUGUGCCAAACUCGUAACUCAGAUAUUCAUCUCUAUGAUCAUAUCACAGACAUUUUAUCCUCUUGUCACGACGAUCUUCAACUUCACUCUGAAAUUACUUGAACCUUUCAAUAAUUCAGACUUGUGUUUUAUCAAGUAAAUAUACUGAGCAUCUACUCAUAUCAUCUGUGAAGCAAGAACAUAACGAUAUCCACUGCAUGCCUCAGCACUCAUUGGACUGCACACAUCAAAAUGUAUUACUUCCAACAAGUUGCUUUCUUGUUCCAUCUUACUAAAAACGAGGCCUUUCAGUCAUCUUGCCCAUGUGGUAUGAUUUGCAUGUCUCAAGUGAUUCAAAAUCAAGUGAGUCCAAACGAUCCAUCUGUAUGGACUUUCUUCAUGCAUAUAUACUAAUAGACAUGGUUCGCAUGUCUCAAUCUUUUCAAAAACGAGUGAGUCCAAAGAUCCAUCAACAUGGAGCUUCUUCAUGCGUUUUAUACCAAUAUGACUCAAGUGGCAGUGCCACAAGUAUGUGGUACUAUCAUUACUAUCUUAUAUCUUUUGGCAUGAACAUGUGUAUCACUACGAUCGAGAUUCAAUAAACCAUUCAUUUUAGGUGCAAGACCAUUGAAGGUAUUAUUCAAAUGGACAGAGUAACCAUUAUUCUCCUUAAAUGAAUAACCGUAUUGCGAUAAACAUAAUCCAAUCAUGUCUAUGCUCAACGCAAACACCAAAUAACAAUUAUUUAGAUUUAACACCAAUCUUGAUGGUAGAGGGAGCAUGCGAUGCUUGAUCACAUCAACCUUGGAAACACUUCCAACACAUAUCGUCAUCUCACUUUUAGCUAGUCUCCGUUUAUUCCGCAGCUUUUAUUUCGAGUUACUAACACUUAGCAACACGUAUGUAUUAUUUCCAACAAGUCAGUUGCUCGCUCCAUUGUUCCGGAGAACGGAGUCUUAGUCAUCUUGCCCAUGAGGCAUGGUUCGCAAGCAUCAAGUGAUUCAUAAUCAAGUGAUUCCCAAAGCCCAUCAGCAUGGAGUUUCUUCAUGCGCUUUACACCAAUAUGACCUAAACGGCAGUGCCACAAAUAAGUUGCACUAUCAUUAUUAACUUUGCAUCUUUUGGCUUCAAUAUUAUGAAUAUGUGUAUCACUACAAUCGAGAUUCGAUAAAAAUAGACCACCCAUCAAGGGUGCAUGACCAUAAAAGAUAUUACUCAUAUAAAUAGAACAACCAUUAUUCUCUGGUUUAAAUGAAUAACUAAUCCCGAAGGUAGAUGUAGAGGUAGCAUGCCGACGACGAUCACAUCGACUUUGGAACCAUUUCCCACGCGCAUCAUCACCUUGUCCUUAGCCAAUCUUCGUUUAAUCCGUAGCCCCUGUUUCGAGUUGCAAAUAUGAGCAACAAAACCAGUAUCAAAUACCCAGGCGCUGCUACGAGCAUUAGUAGGGUACACAUCAAUAACGUGUAUAUCAAAUAUACCUUUCACUUUGCCAUCCUUCUUAUCCGCCAAAUACUUGGGGCAGUUCCACUUCCAGUAACCAGUCCCUUUGUAGUAGAAGCACUCAGUCUCAAGCUUAGGUCCAGACUUGGGCUUCUUCACUUGAGCAGCAACUUGCUUGCCGUUCUUCUUGAAGUUCCCCUUCUUCCCUUUGCCCUUUUUCUUGAAACUAGUGGUCUUGUUAACCACCAACACUUGAUGCUCCUUCUUGAUUUCUACCUCCGCAGCCUUUAGCAUUGCGAAGAGCUCGGGAAUUGUCUUAUCCAUCCCUUGCAUAUUAUAGUUCAUCACGAAGCUUUUAUAGCUUGGUGGCAGUGAUUGAAGAACUCUGUUAAUGACACUAUCAUUAGGAAGAUUAACUCCCAGCUGAGUCAAGUGGUUAUGGUACCCAGACAUUCUGAGUAUGUGUUCACUGACAGAACUAUUCUCCUCCAUUUUGCAGCUAUAGAACUUGUUGGAGACUUCAUAUCUCUCAACUCGGGCAUUUACUUGAAAUAUUAACUUCAACUCCUGCAACAUCUCAUAUGCUCCAUGACGUUCAAAACGUCUUUGAAGUCCCGAUUCUAAGCCGCAAAGCAUGGCAUACUAAACUAUCGAGUAGUCAUCAACACGCGACUGCCAGACGUGCAUAACGUCCAGAGUUGCUCUUGCAAUGAGUCUUGCACCUAGCGGUGCUUCUAGGACGUAAUUCUUCUGUGCAGCAAUGAGGAUAAUCCUCAAGUUACGGAUCCAGUCCGUGUAGUUUCUACCAUUAUCUUUCAAGUUAGCUUUCUCUAGGAACGCAUUAAAAUUCAAGGGAACGGUAGCACGAGCCAUUGAUCUACAACAACAUAGAUAUGCAAAAACUAUCAGGUACUAAGUUCAUGAUAAAUUAAAGUUCAAUUAAUCAUAUUACUUAAGAACUCCCACUUAGAUAGACAUCCCUCUAGUCAUCUAAAUGAUCACGUGAUCCAUAUCAACUAAACCAUGUCCGAUCAUCACGUGAGAUGGAGUAGUUUUCAAUGGUGAACAUCUCUAUGUUGAUCAUAUCUACUAUAUGAGUCAUGUUCGACCUUUCUGUCUCAGUGUUCCGAGGCCAUAUCUGCAUAUGUUAGGCUCGUCAAGUUUAACCCGAGUAUUUUGCAUGUGCAAAACUGGCUUGCACCCGUUGUAUGUGAACAUAGAGCUUAUCACACCCGAUCAUCACGUGGUGUCUCGGCACAACGAACUGUAGCAAUGGUGCAUACUCAGGGAGAACAUUUAUACCUUGAAAUUUAGUAAGGGGCCAUCUUAUAAUGCUACCGCCGUACUAAGCAAAAUAAGAUGCACACUAGUACAGCGAGCUCCUAAACAAACAGUUUUUAACCCCUUUCCGUGAUGGCAUUUGGAACCGUCGCCAAGUGAGUGUGGGCGAUAGGGGGGUCCUUCCCACACUACCUAGAAACCGUCAGGGAUAUGCCCUCCUUGCACACACGUUCGGCAAAAUGAGGUCGUGUGCGACCGGCGAGCGCUCAAAUACGGAAAUACGUACAGUGGAGCUAAAAAAAAUACAAUUAUACGACGAAAUUGUUUCCGGUCGCAAGUACAUCCCACACAGUCAGUCCCCGCUAAACGUUUCCAUUCGUAUGUACAUCCCACACAGUCGCUCCAAGGAAAACGUUUCCGUUUACUGGUACAUCACACACAAUUUUCCUGUUAAAUCGCUUGCAUUAUUGAAUAUAUCACACACGGUCCGUGGAAGAAACUGUGUGGCAAAGGCUGUCCAUCACACACAAUUUUCAUGUGGUAAACGUUUCCGCAAGGUGGCCUAACAUAAACAGUUUUCAAGAGAAAGUCGUGUGUGAUUGUUCAUUGAUCCAACACGGUUUAUUCCUAGAAACUGUGUGCGUUGCCUGAGGUCAUCGCCCACGGUAUUUUUUCAAUAACCGUUUGCAAUAGCAAAACCCAAUUAGCAGGCUAAUUAUCCGAUUAUUCAUAAUCCAUUUAUUAAUCUAAUUGACAGUUCAUAUUAAACACAAUAUAUUUCAUUUUCAUAAUUGAAAUACAUCAGAGUACAACAUCAUAUAGCUUCAGCACUCAGCUACCCCAUUACACAACUACACCAGGACCAAGUUUCACAUGCAACAUCUAUAAACUUUCGAAAUUAGCAUCAUAGACGGCAUAGACAGAUGUAUCUCAUCUGGAAAACUGCUGAAGCAGAAGGCGAAUAUUGAGCCUUCAUUGAUGUUGAAGGUCUUUGUAACUUUAGGCCAGUGCCUGUGGAUGAUUGACCGUCCAUCCUUCGUCCUCUUCAGGAACAGUUCAAUAUUGAACCAUGGGUGUUGUAUGAAUACCUUCCUUGCCUCCUGACCAUACAUGUGGUUUGAGAGGUAAUCAUCAGUGAACUACUUUAGAAAGGCAUGGAAACAAGGAUGUGCAUAAAUUUCUUCUCUAUAUUGGAAAUGGGGCAAAGGAAUAAAAAAGGCAAGGUAUAAUAGUUAGUACCAUCCUGUAGUAAACUAAUGUCUUCUUCAUUGUGCAGACAAAGAUCUUGUUGUUUUUUGUUGCUAAUUUCUUUAUCCUAAUAAUCUUUCUGAGUUUCUUGACUUGACUGAUAUUCAUGGACAACUCAUUUCCCCAUUUGCAAAAAGGGUCGAACAGUGGGUCAAAACCUCUGACAGCAGGACCUACAUGUGCAAGACCAAAUUGUUAAAAACCUAAAUAUUAGAAUGGUUCCUGCAAUUGCACAAUAAUGUGCUAUUAGACAACGGACCAUGCACGUGCUAACCUCGAUUGUAAACCUCAGUGCUUCCCAUUGUUUCCCUGCAACACAUAUAAGGUAGUUAGUCAUCAGGUUAAGUAAGGGUUCGCAUGCUAUCAGUAAAAUAUGUUGAUGAAAAAUAAUCACACUGCAGAUUCAUCAGAUUAAUUGAAGCCACACGGAAAAGCCAUUUAUCCAAACCAAGCAUGAUUAAGAACUAGGAAAUAUAGCACUUGUAUAUGUUUCUCAUGUAUUAAGUGCAGCCAAAUUCGAUUUAUUCCUCACAUGCACAACAAUACAAAAUUCUACCCACGACAAUUGGACAUCGUAUUGCAGAAUUGAACCAAGCAGUUAACUAAACACCACGACAAAUGAACCAAACAUUAACUGAGCACCACAUUCACAAUAUAACAUACUCCUAAUAGAAGAUCAGACAGUUAACCAAACAGUUAACUACAGCCAAUUGUAGCAAUUGUAUUUGUUUCUCAUGUAUUUACUACAGCCAAAUUCAAUUUAUUCCUCACAUGGUAUACAAUAACAGAAUGCACCCACAAUUUUGUAAAGAUAAAUUCGAUUUAUUUCUCACAUGGAAGACAAUACAAAAUUGCAGCCUGAAGAAUUGAACAUCACAUUUGCAGAAUUGAACCAAACAGUUAACUGAAGAUGACAACUACUUAACAAAACAGUUAAUAAGUGAGCACCACAAUGCACGACAUAUAGAACAUAUACACUAGAGCAACAGAUUGCAUGGUAAAAUUAGAUAGCACAAUUCACUAGAAUUUGUGAAGGAAAGGCAGGAGCAGCACACGCAACGGGUAAACCGAGCAUGCUUAACCGGCGUAGCUAGCAAAUGGCAAGGUGCUCCUUGAAGAUCUGGGGGUCGGCACGAAUGGCAGCCAUUGCGACCUCAUCCGCGCGUGCGGCUGCGAUUUGCUUCUCCGCUGCCAAAUGCUCCUUGAGGUCCUGACUAUACUGCGUGCACCAUGACUUAGGCCGCCGCUUAUUUGGUGGAGGGGUCGGUGAUUUGGGUGGAAGGUGUCGCGCUCGCGCCGGUGGUAGGGACAUGUGGGAUGUGGAAGGAGGAGGAGGAUGGGGGUCGGGUGUGGAUUACCUGCCUGGAUAGGCGAGGCCGAGGAGCAUGAAGGAGGGUCGCCGGCGAGGAGGCAGCGGCGCUGCAAGCAAGGAGUGAAGGUUUCAACUUGGAAAGAAAGGCGGAAAAAGGGGAAUGUGGCUUUUGGUAAGGGGGAGGGGGCGGGGAAGUAGAUAUUUCCGUGGAAGCCGAAAAUUUGGAAUCACUUUAGCCAAAAAACUGGCGCGCAAAGUGUCAUCAGACACGGUCCCUUAUUCAGACACGGUCCGAAGAUAUUUUGUGCUGCAUCUCACACGGUUGGUUAUAAUAAACUGUGUGGGAUCUACUUGAUUUUUGGUCUUGAUUUGAAUUACAUAAUGGGGUCACAGCGGCCAUGGACGGUGUUUGAAUUGCUAGACCUUUCAUCUGCAGUGACCAUAAAAGAAUUGGAAUUAUUCAGGGUUCGUUUGGACAUUUUUAUGCAUUAAGUGAGUUUUCAAUGCAUUUAUGUGCAUAAUUCAAAUUUGAACUACAUGCACAUGCUCCAGUGCAUAUAAAUUCAUUGAAAAAUCAAAUCUUUGUCCUUGGGUGCAUGCUUAGGUCCCAUGCAAGAAAUGGGAAUGAAUUUCAAACACCAGGGCACCGUUGAUUGCUGGCAAAACAUUGAGAUGCUUGGUUUUUAAAUUCUAGUAAAUCCAAAACUCGUCUGAAAUUCAUGAAACUUGGCAUGCUAUCAUGGAACGGAAUCAACAUGCCGUGGUACAAAAUUUGUCCCAUUUGGGGCAGGUUUGGGUAUAUGCUUCUCACAAACCGGAGCUUCUCACAACAAGCAUGAUGGUUUUCGGUAGGGAACGUCCCACCUUUGGGGACGAAACGAUAUCCAUUGCCUCUUAUUGCUUUCAAUUUUUUCUCGUGUCAACAUAUAACAACAAGAGUGUUGUGUGAAUUUUUGUGAUUUUUCGGGGUUCGUUUGGACAUUUUUAUGCAUUAACUGAGUUCUCAAUGCAUUUAUGUGCGUAAUUCAAAUUUGAACUACAUGUGCAUGCUCCAGUGCAUAUAAAUUGGUUGAAAAAUCAAAUCUGUGUCCUUGGGUGCAUGCUUAGGUCCCAUGCAAGAAAUGGGAAUGAAUUUCAAACACCAGGGCACCGUUGAUUGCCGGCAAAACAUUGAGAUGCCUGGUUUUUAAAUUCUAGUAAAUCCAAAACUCGUCUGAAAUUCAUGAAACUUGGCAUGCUAUCAUGUAGCGGCAUCAACAUGUCGUGGUACAAAUUUUGUCCCAUUUGGGGCAGGUUUGGGUAUAUGGUUCUCACAAACCGGAGCUUCUCACAACAAGCAUGAUGGUUUUCGGUAGGGAACGUCCCACCUUUGGGGACGAAACGAUAUCCAUUGUCUCUAAUUGCUUUCAUGUUUUUUUCUCAUGUCAACAUAGAACAACAAGAGUGUUGUGUGAAUUUUUGUGAUUUUUCGGGGUUCGUUUGGACAUGUUUAUGAAUUAACUGAGUUUUCAAUGCAUUUAUGUGCAUAAUUCAAAUUUGAACUACAUGCGCAUGCUCGAGUGCAUAUAAAUUGGUUGAAAAAUCAAAUCUGUGUCCUUGGGUGCAUGCUUAGGUCCCAUGCAAGAAAUGGGAAUGAACUUCAAACACCAGGGCACCGUUGAUUGCCGGCAAAACAUUGAGAUGACUGGUUUUUAAAUUCUAGUAAAUCCAAAACUCGUCUGAAAUUCAUGAAACUUGGCAUGCUAUCAUGGAGCGGCAUCAACAUGUCGUGGUACAAAUUUUGUCCCAUUUGGGGCAGGUUUGGGUAUAUUAUUCUCACAAACCGGAGCUUCUCACAACAAGCAUGAUGGUUUUUGGUAGGGAAUGUCCCACCUUUGGGGACGAAACGAUAUCCAUUGCCUCUUAUUGCUUUCAUUUUUUUCUCGUGUCAACAUAGAACAACAGGAGUGUUGUGUGAAUUUUUAUGAUUUUUCGGGGUUCGUUUGGACAUUUUUAUGCAUUAACUGAGUUUUCAAUGCAUUUAUGUGCAUAAUUCAAAUUUGAACUACAUGUGCAUGCUCCAGUGAAUAUAAAUUCGUUGAAAAAUCAAAUCUGUGUCCUUGGGUGCAUGCUUAGGUCCCAUGCAAGAAAUGAGAAUGAAUUUCAAACACCAGGGCACCGUUGAUUGCCGGCAAAACAUUGAGAUGCCUGGUUUUUAAAUUCUAGUAAAUCCAAAACUCGUCUGAAAUUCAUGAAACUUGGCAUGCUAUCAUGGAGCGGCAUCAACAUGCCGUGGUACAAAUUUUGUCCCAUUUGGGGCAGGUUUGGAUAUAUGCAUCUCACAAACCGGAGCUUCUCACAACAAGCAUGAUGGUUUUCGGUAGGGAACGUCCCACCUUUGGGGACGAAAUGAUAUCCAUUGCCUCUAAUUGCUUUCAAGUUUUUUUCUCGUGUCAACAUAGAACAACAGGAGUGUUGUGUGAAUUUUUGUGAUUUUUCGGGGUUCGUUUGGACAUUUUUAUGCAUUAACUGAGUUUUCAAUGCAUUUAUGUGCAUAAUUCAAAUUUGAACUACAUGUGCAUGCUCCAGUGCAUAUAAAUUGUGAUAAUUAUGAAAGUGGAUUUGGAGAGGUCAUGACUUUAUUUAGUGAUGAAUCCACUAUUUCGGAAGAGGUUCCAAUUGAUUAUGAGAACAAAGUUGCUAUCUAUGAUGAUUAUUGUGAUGACAUGUAUGCUAUAAAGAAUAAUGAUAACCAUGAAACGUGUCAUCAUGAUUUUAAUUUUCAAUUGGAUUAUGCCUCACAUGAUAGUUAUUUUGUUGAGUUUGCUCCCAUUACUAUUCAUGAGAAGAAGUUUGCUUAUGUGGAGAGUAAUAAAAAUUCUAUGCUUGUGCAUCAUAAAAAUAAUGCUUUAUGUGAUGGUUAUAUGGUUGAAUUCAUUCAUGAUGCUACUGAAAAUUAUUAUGAGGGAGGAAUAUAUGCUUGUAGGAAUUGCAAUAAUAUCAAGUUUCCUCUCUAUGUGCUUAAAGUUUUGAAGUUAUGCUUGUUUUGCCUUCCUAUGCUAGUUGAUUAUUGUUCCCAUAAGUUUGCUCACAAAAUCCCUAUGCAUAGGAAGUGGGUUAGACUUAAAUGUGCUAGACAUAUUCUUCAUGAUGCUCUCUUUAUGUUUCAAUUCCUAUCUUUUAUGUGAGCAUCAUUGAAAUCAUCAUGCCUAGCUAGGGGCGUUAAACGAUAGCGCUUGUUGGGAGGCAACCCAAUUUUAUUUUAGUUUCUUGCUUUUUGGUUCUGUUUAGUAAUAAAUAAUCCUUCUAGCUUCUGUUUAGAUGUGGUUUUAUGUUUUAAUUAGUGUUUGUGCCAAGUAGAACCUUUGGGAAGACUUGGGUGAAGUCUUUAUGAUCAUGCUGUAAAAAACAGAAACUUUAGCGCUCACGAGAUUUGCUUCAACUUUUUACUGGAGAGUGAUAUUUAGUUGAUUAGUUUUGAAGAUGAUUACUAGACAAAUUCCUCAGGUCCACCAAUUUAUUUUAGAAUUUUUGGAGUUCCAGAAGUAUACGUUUGAUACAGAUUACUACAGACUGUUCUGUUUUUGACAGAUUCUGUUUUCAUUGUGUUGCUUGCUUAUUUUGAUGAAUCUAUGGCUAGUAAAAUAGUUUAUAAACCAUAGAGAAGUUGGAAUACAGUAGGUUUAACACCAAUACAAAUAAAGAAUGAGUUCAUUACAGUACCUAAGUGGUGAUUUAUUUUCUUAUACUAACGGAGCUUACGAGUUUUCUGUUAAGUUUUGUGUUGUGAAGUUUUCAAGUUUCGGGUAAAGAUUCGAUGGACUAUGGAAUAUGGAGUGGCAAGAGCCUAAGCUUGGGGAUGCCCAAGGCACCCCAAGGUAAUAUUCAAGGAUAACCAAGCGUCUAAGCUUGGGGAUGCCCCAGAUGGCAUCCCCUCUUUCGUCUUCGUUCAUCGGUAACUUUACUUGGAGCUAUAUUUUUAUUCACCACAUGAUAUGUGUUUUGCUUGGAGCGUCAUUUUAUUUUCUUUAGCUUUGCUUGAUGCUUGAAUAAAAUACCAAGAUCUGAAAUUCUUAAAUGAGAGAGAGUCUUCAGAUAGCUACAUAAUUAUUUAACUACUCAUUGAUCUUCACUUAUAUCUUUUUGGAGUAGUUUGUCAUUUACUCGUGUGCUUCACUUAUAUCCUAUGAGUAAAUGGUUGAAUGAUUUGAAUAUCAUAAAUCUGAAAUUAUAUAUGUUUCAUAUGCCUUUCCCAUGGGGAGUAAUGCCUUCACAUAUAAGAAGUAGAGGUGGUAAAUUUAUUGAAGGUUAGCAAACAUUGUACUGGUCACUUGAACAAUUCAUGAAAGAAUAUUGAAGGAAGAGAGAUUUCACAUAUAAUACUAUCUUGGACAUCUUCUAUGAUUGUGAGCCCCAUUAAUUAUUUUCAAACCUGAGCAAAUUAGUUGAAGUUGGACAAGGAAGACAACAUAGUGAGUUGUGCUUGGGUAUAUUUGUAUAGAAGUUAUAUUGUUAUGGAUCCUCUAACAUGUGGUGCUUGCUAUUUAGAAUCUUUUGCUAGCCUAAAUUUCUGUACUAAGCGGGAAUACUGCUUGUGCAUCCAAAAUCCUUGAGCCAAGUUUCUUCCAUGAGUGUCUACCAUAUCUACCUAUAUGCGGUAUUUACCUGCCGUUCCAAGUAAAUUUGCAUGUGCCAAACUCUAAACCUUCAAAUAAUAAUCUGUUUUGUAUGCCCGGAUCGCUCAUGUAGAUACUAGGGGUUGUCAGUAUCUUCCAUGCUAGGUGGGUUAUUCUCACGAUGAGUGGACUCUGCUCAUCAUUCACGAGAAAAUGGCUGGUAACUGGGAUGCCCAGUCCCAUGAUCAAAAGAUCGAAAUCAAAUCAAAUAUAAUUGCAAACAAAACUCCCCCAGGAUUGAUGUUAGUUGGAGGCACCCGUUGUUUCGGGCAAGCCAUGGAUUGAUGAUUGUUGGUGGAGGGGGAGUAAAAAUCUUUACCUUUCUGUUUGGGAACCGCCUAUAAUGUAUGUAGUAUGGAAGAUAUUGGGAAAUCUUGGUCGUUAUGUUGACAAUGAAAGCAUACCUCUCAAAAUUAUUUUCAUCUCUGUUUUUCCUUUGAGCUCUGGCACCUCUGCAAAUCCCUGCUUCCCUCUGCGAAGGGCCUAUCUUUUACUUUUAUGCAAGAGUCAGUAGUAUUCCUUCUCAUUCCAGCCUACUCUUUAGUUGGCAAGCAUCAUGUGAUGGAAAGAUCUAGGCAUAUAUGGCCAUUCAAAUAUAUUUGAGCAUGAAUUAUUACUGUUGACAUUACCCUUGAGGUAAAAGGUUGGGAGGCGAAACAUUAAGCCCCUAUCUUUCUCUGUGUUCGAUGAAUACUAUUUGUUCUAAAAAUAUGCUUUGAGUGGUAGCAAUCAUGGAAGACUAUAUGAUAGUUGAGUAUGUGAAGUUUGCUGAAUCAAAGCUCUGACAUAGACUCUUCCUGAAAAUAAGAUGAAUUGUAACUGUUUGAUGACUAAUAACACGGUUUGUUAGUUUUCAAGAAAGUUUAUGAUCUAUACUUUAACAUGUGAAUAGUUUUGUUACUUGAUCAUGCAAAGUUUUAUGAUAUGAGCUACUGUUAUGACAUAUAAUGAUGCUAGAAAAGGUGAUUGAAAUUAUCAUUGAUCAAACUUAUGGACCUGCUAGCAUUCAUACUUCAUAAAUUAUUUCUUUUAUCAUUUACCUACUCGAGGACGAGCAGGAAUUAAGCUUGGGGAUGCUGAUACGUCUCCAACGUAUCUAUAAUUUAUGAAGUAUUCAUGCUAUUAUAUUAUCCAUCUUGGAUGUUUAAUGGGCUUUACUAUGCACUUUUAUAUUAUUUUUGGGACUAACUUAUUAACCCAGAGCCCAGUGCCAGUUUCUGUUUUUUCCCUUGUUUCAGUGUUUCGCAGAAAAGGAAUAUCAAACGGAGUCCAAAUGGAAUGAAACCUUCGGGAAAGUUAUUUUUGGAACGGAAGAAAUCCAGGGGACUUGGAGUGCACGUUAGGGAAUCAACGAGGAAGGCACGAGGCAGGGGGGCGCGCCCACCCCCCUGGGCGCGCCCUCCACCCUCGUGGGCCCCUCGUGGCUCCCCUGACAUAUUUCUUCCUUCUAUAUAUACCAAUAUACCCAAAAACCUUCGGGGAACAGAAUAGAUCGGGAGUUCCGCCGCCGCAAGCCUCUGUAGCCACCAAAAACCAAUCGGGACCCUGUUCCGGCACCCUGCCGGAGGGGGGAACCCUCACCGGUGGCCAUCUUCAUCAUCCCAACGCUCUCCAUGACGAGGAGGGAGUAGUUCACCCUCGGGGCUGAGGGUAUGUACCAGUAGCUAUGUGUUUGAUCCCUCUCUCUCGUGUUCUUGAGGUGGUACGAUCUUGAUGUAUCGCGAGCUUUGCUAUUAUAGUUGGAUCUUAUGAUGUUUCUCCCCCUCUACUCUCUUGUAAUGGAUUGAGUUUCCCCUUUGAAGUUAUCUUAUCGGAUUGAGUCUUUUAAUGAUUUGGGAACUCUUGAUGUAUGUCUUGCGUGGGAUACCCGUGGUGACAAUGGGGUAUUCUAUUGAUCCACUUGAUGUAUGUUUUGGUGAUCAACUUGCGGGUUCCGCCCAUGAACCUAUGCAUAAGGGUUGGCACACGUUUUCGUCUUGAUUCUCCGGUAGAAACUUUGGGGCACUCUUUGAGGUUCUAUGUGUUGGUUGAAUAGAUGAAUCUGAGAUUGUGUGAUGCAUAUCGUAUAAUCAUACCCACGGAUACUUGAGGUGACAUUGGAGUAUCUAGGUGACAUUAGGGUUUUGGUUGAUGUGUGUCUUAAGGUGUUAUUUUACUACGAACUCUAGGGCUGUUUGUGACACUUAUAGGAAUAGCCCAAUGGAUUGAUCGGAAAGAAUAACUUUGAGGUGGUUUCGUACCCUACCAUAAUCUCUUCAUUUGUUCUCCGCUAUUAGUGACUUUGGAGUGACUCUUUGUUGCAUGUCGAGGGAUAGUUAUAUGAUCCAACUAUGUUAUUAUUGUUGAGAGAACUUGCACUAGUGAAAGUAUGAACCCUAGGCCUUGUUUCCUAGCAUUGCAAUACCGUUUACGCUCACUUUUGUCAUUAGUUACCUUGCUGUUUUUAUAUUUUCAGAUUACAAAAACCUAUAUCUACCAUCCAUAUUGCACUUGUAUCACCAUCUCUUCGCCGAACUAGUGCACCUAUACAAAUUACCAUUGUAUUGGGUGUGUUGGGAACACAAGAGACUCUUUGUUAUUUGGUUGCAGGGUUGUUUGAGAGAGACCAUCUUCAUCCUACUCCUCCCACGUAUUGAUAAACCUUAGGUCAUCCACUUGAGGGAAAUUUGCUACUGUCCUACAAACCUCUGCACUUGGAGGCCCAACAACGUCUACAAGAAGAAGGUUGUGUAGUAGACAUCAAGCUCUUUUCUGGCGCCGUUGCCGGGGAGGCUAGGUAAGAGGCACUCACAUCCCGUCAACUGAGCUCUUUUCUGGCGCCGUUGCCGGGGAGGUGAGUGCUUGAAGGUAUAUCUUUAGAUCUUGCAAUCGAAUUUUUUAGUUUCUUGUUUUAUCACUAGUUUAGUCUAUAAAAGAAAACUACAAAGAAAUAGAAUUGAGGAUGCCUCAUAUGCUUCAUCUUUUUAAUGUCUUUAGUGAAAAUAAGGAUUCCGAUAAUUGUGCUCAAGUGCUAGAAGAAGAAUGCAUUAGAAUGUUUGGCACUAAAUAUUUGAAUGAUGAGCAUGAUUGCAAUGUUGUUAGUAUGAAUUCUUUGAAUACCCAUGAUGCUAAUGAUAUGCAAAGCCACAAGCUUGGGGAUGCUAUGUUUUAUGAAGAUGAUAUUUUUAGUCCCCCAAGUUUUGAUGAGAAAAUAUAUUAUGAUGAUAGCAUGCCUCCUAUAUAUGAUGAUUAUAUUGAUGAAAGUGGAUUUGGAGAGGUCAUGACUUUAUUUAGUGAUGAUCCCGGGCAGGAUUUCUGUAGCUCUUGAUCGCAAACGAUUUAGAUAGAACACCCGUAUGCAAAGUGAGAGCAGCGCAGGAUUUGUGCAUCCCUUCAAUGCAAACGGUUGUUCUGGAUGACCCGUGUGCAACCACGUACAAACAAUUUGGUAAGCUUUGCAUCUGUUAUAUUUGGUAUGUUGCCAUUUGUCAAACUGGAAAGAUUUACAUUUGUUGAUCUAGUAACGUUGUCAUUUGUCAAUCCUUGUAACACUGCGAUUUGUCAAAUAUGCAGCUAGAAAUCAUUAGCACUAUGUAAUUUUUGCAACUAAAAUUCAGUAAUUAAGCAUAGAUUUCAUUCAUAUUAAGCAGUCGUUCUUAAUUUAUACAAACAGUUCAACUCGACAGCUGAACCGACCAAACCUCUCCCCAAUUGUUGCCAACCACGUACUGAAAUAGCUAGUUCAACUAUAUAUACUAGCUAAUUUUAAGUAUGUUGUACAGUUCGACCACACAUCUAUAGUUAGAUGAACUGAACAAAAUAGCCCCUAAAUACUACUCCACGGAGGGGCUUUGUGCUACUUCCGGUAGCCUCUCCUCUGCCGAGCGUGCUCAGUGAGAGGCAGAGGAGGAGGAGGAGCCUACCGACGAGCCGGAGAAAUGCAAUACGAUGCCUUCCGCUUUUGCACGUUCAGCGAAGGUCUCCAGCUCGAACGCCCACUGCCGCUCCAGACGAUCCCUCUCGAAGCGGCCGGACUGCUCGUAGAUCUCCUGAUUCCUCGCCUCUGCGUCGGCGUGUGCUGCGGCCAUGGCUGCGGUAAGGCUCUUUGCGUGCUCGACGAGGCACUCCUCCUCCUCCCGCAGGAACUCGAUGUAGCGUGCAAGGUCGCUGACGCACAUGCAGUCCUCCACCUCCGCCUCCCUCCUUCGGGCGGCAGUGGCGGAGCGGGUGAUGAUCCCGGCGGUCGACGGUGGGCUGGCGGCCACGGUGGCCGACGAUGGGGUGGCGGCCACGACCACCACCUCCCGCCUUCGGGCCGCGGUGGCGGAGCGGGUGAUGGCCACAGUGGCCGGCAGUGGGGUGGCGACCACGAUGGCCACCUCCCGCCUUCGGGUCGCGGCGACAGAGCGGGAGAUGGCCCUGGCUUUCGAUGGUGGUGUGGCGGCAACGGCGGCCGGCAACAGCUGUCGACGGGCAGCGGCGGCGGAGCGUGUGGUGGGUGUUCCACGCACACCCAACAGGGAUGCCACGCGCACUACACUACGCUGGGGACUGCGCCGCCGCCGCGGUGUAGGCUCCCAGCUGGAGCUGUCCUCUGAUGACGGCAGAGUGGCUUAGCGACGACGACGGACCGGUGCCAUUGGCGAUUGUGGGAGAAGUAGACGAGAUAAGCUACAGGGAGGGAGGGGAAAAUGCGACGCAGGACUCGCCAGCCGUGAGGGUUUUUAUAGCAGGCCGGUAAGCAUUGGGAUUUUGGGGGAUUUCACCGAGUCCGGCGGGAAGCUUGCGUGGGAAUGGGCUCACCGACGAUUCAUUGGCGCCACCGUUUGGCCGAAAGAACGCCCCCGCGCGCUGCGCAAGCUUGCGCUGUAAGCCGUCUGCGGCAGCGGGGUGACAAGACGUGCGAGAGGAGGACGAGAGGACAUGUACACAUACAGUUAAUAAAAAAAUGUUUACGAUUUAAUUACCUACUAUACCCCGUCCUGGUUUAUAAGUAGGAUUUAACUAAUAAAAUACGAAUGCAUGUCGCCAUAGAUUAUAUCGUUGGAGUCGUAUUUGAACAUAGUUUCCAGCUAUACAUUUUUGUAACAUGCAUUAACACUUUUUUGGUUAAAUUUAAGGUUAUACACCAGCAGGCGUUUGCCCGCAACACACACAGCUUAAUCCAUCACAAACAGCUCUGAUGGAUCAACUGUCUGCCACGUGUCGCACACGCAACUCUAAUAUGAUUCGUGCUUGAUGUCUCCGAUAUAGCUCGUACAGUUCGUCUUAUUUGCCACGUAUCACCGUGCCGUACUCUGCUCGCGUCCCUCGGCAAGCUCUGCUCACCGUUAGGCGCCGCAGCGCGCUGUGCUCACCGUUAGGCGCCGCGACGCGCUCUGUCGUGUCCGUUGGCGCGCUCUGCUCACGUCCGUCGGCGCACUCGGCUUGUGGACAGCUUUUCCUUGAGGCGACCGCGCAGCGCUCUGCUCACGUCCCUUCGCGCGCGCUCUGCCAGCGGUUGGGCGUGCGCACGAUCACGUCGGGGGCCCAUAUGCAUGCGGUUGUGCCGCGCGCGUUGCCACGCGAUGCAGUUACGUGCGGCACGAGGGAGUUACGCGCUGAAAAUUAGAACUGCCAUCAGGGCCUGCCGAUAUUCCUGGCCGUCCGGCUUCCCCUUUAAUUCCCGCGGCCAUUAUAACCUUAGUCUCUUCAACCUUUCGAUCGCGCCCCACAACACAACAAGCACACCCACGACGACACAUAGAGAGGGGAUGUUCGGCGGCGCUCCAAUGGAGUUCGGCGAGCAUAGAGUGGAGACCCACGCGAGGGAGACGGAUCUCUCGGUGGUGUACACCAUCGACCCGGCCGUGGUGGACGACUACAUCAACAGCGUUGAGCAGUUGCUUGCUGGAGACAAGUACAAGGUGGUCGACAUCGACCUCCAGUACACCGCUGGUCGUCCCGGCAUAGAUCAAAAGGUUGCCGUCGCCCAGUUGUGUGUGCGCCAUCAUGUCCUCAUCUACCACUACUGCAUGGCCACAGAGCCUUGCGACUGUUUCAAGACGUUUGUCAACAGCACCGACUACAAGUUCGCCACGGUGGAUACCGAAGACGAUGUAAAAGCGCUCAGUGUUACGGGCUUGGCCUGCAAGAACCUUGUCGAAAUCCGUGACCACUACAGGGUCCGGGGCAGCACGAAGCAGGACUCCCUGGUCGAACUCACCUCGGCCAUCAUCGACCCCUACUACGAAAAGAUGAAGCAGGAUGCCCAGAGAACAAGUCCCGUAUCCUAGCACAAGGCCUGGAUGCGGCAACUGGAUGAACCUCACCUCAGGUUCGCGGCCAAGAGCGUGUACACAUGCUACGAGAUGCGCAGGCGGAUCGUUGACAUGAGGAAGUGCCUCGUUACCCAAAUCGACGAGCCCGGAUCGAGCCACAAGAAGAGCAAACGUCACAAGAAGUAGAUGAUGAUCAGAUGAUCGUUUAUGCUAGUUAAUCAUGCAUGUAAUAUAUAAUUUACUUUAUUGAUGUGUGUGGAAAUGUCAUGUGUAUAGUAGCCACCUAUGUAAUUAUGCAUGUAAUAGUUUACUUUGAUGUGUGCAAAUGCCAUGAUUGUAGUAGCCACCUAUGUUAGUGGAUGUUUAAUUUGGUUAUGCAACCAUGUCCUUUUAUGAUAACACCCUCGAGUCUUAUUCUGCUAACAGUAGGAUUAUUCUGAUAACACCAAACGAACCGCGCCGCCCACCCGACAGAAAAAACAAAAACACAAACCCCACCCCACCUCCCGUAAUCCCCACACAACCCCCCCACCCACCAUCCUCCCAUCCCAGCCUCAAUUUCUCUUCUUCCUCCCCUCGACGCCUCCACCAACCACCCACCUAGAUCCGCCAUGCCUCCUCUCCCUCCCUGCAGCGCCCCCACCUGGCCACCUCUCCCACUCCCGCCGCUGGCCCCNNNNNNNNNNNNNNNNNNNNNNNNNNNNNNNNNNNNNNNNNNNNNNNNNNNNNNNNNNNNNNNNNNNNNNNNNNNNNNNNNNNNNNNNNNNNNNNNNNNNNNNNNNNNNNNNNNNNNNNNNNNNNNNNNNNNNNNNNNNNNNNNNNNNNNNNNNNNNNNNNNNNNNNNNNNNNNNNNNNNNNNNNNNNNNNNNNNNNNNNNNNNNNNNNNNNNNNNNNNNNNNNNNNNNNNNNNNNNNNNNNNNNNNNNNNNNNNNNNNNNNNNNNNNNNNNNNNNNNNNNNNNNNNNNNNNNNNNCCUCAUGCCUUCUUCUCUCCCUCUGCCCAUCAAGCGCCAAACGCGGCGACCUCCCCAACUCGUGCAUGCGUCGCACUGCUCCCCACCCCGCGGCGGCCCGGCUACCUACAACCGCCGCCGCCCUGUCAGAUCCGGCGAGAUCCGGCGCAUCCCACCUCCAUUGCCCCGUGUAGGGACUUCGGGUGCCUGGAUCUGGCGCCUCUGCCCCCGAGAGCAGCCAUGGCGCCCCUGCCCCCUACUUCUCGCCGGCACCUCCAGUGGUCGUGGCCGCCGGCGACUGUCGGAUCCGGCCUCCACCGCGCCUGUAGCCACUGGAUCCGUGGAUCCCCCAGGCGGGUGUGCCCCUGUUAGCCCCACAUCGCCGACCACGUGUCCGGUGGCUCACAGUAGCGGCGCGGCUCGGUAGGCUCCGUGGCUGACUCUGCCUACGAGCGUGCAGUUCUGCCCACACGGGCGUGCAGCUCGACCAACGGAGCAUUGCAGUUCGGCUGACGGCACCGAUGGCUUCCGGUGAAUUCUCGCUUGGACGGCGGUGCGACGUUCAGUUCAAUCACUUGGGCGAGCGGUUCGGCGGCCGUAUGGUUGCGGUGUAGUGCGCCAUCAUGCGCAGUUCUGUAGGCGUGUACUCCGGCCUCCCCGUAGCCGCUGUGCGCAACUGCUCAUCUUCGCGGGCCCGGGCGCGCCGCCGCUCCCCUUUAUCUUCUGUGUGCCUUCCUCCACAACACACAGCGCGGAUCCAAAAAGAUCUCGGCCACCGGCGAGCGGUCACGCCAAGCUUCUCGGUCGCGUUUUCUCCCUGAUUGUACUUCAUUUCAAUCCUUUUGAAGCUCGCUAAAUUAUGUUUUGCAGUUCACCGUGAGAUCCAUGGCGCUGGCCACGCCGCGCCUUCUCCUGCUGCUCCAUCUAAGGCGAGGACGGGCUCUGCCGCGCCAGGAAACAGGGUGUGGCCUGGCACCGGCGAUUACAGCGUGGUGGUUCUCUAAUUCCCCAACAACAAAAGCUGCAGUGAGGCUACCGCACGGUUGAAGUUCAGCAGUAAUUUUGCUGCUUUUUCAUAUUUUGCUUGGGCGCAAUACUACACUUCUCCUGGGUCUGCAGUCCACCGACGAGACAGCUCGUGGUUGGAUGUGAUCGCUUUGCUAUUCGCUUCUGGGAGUGCGGGAGUGCUCUUGUACCACUGAUAGUUGGAUUGCUUUUUUGUUUGUAAAGAAGGUUAAGUGCAAUGCGGUUCAGUUAAGUCAUUUUUGCAGGAGAAGACGAAGAUAAAGUGCACUGCACAUAUUUGUUGAGCCUAAUAAAAAGUUAAAUUGCACGUCUAGGUUCUAGAGGAAAAGGUGCAGUGCACUUGUCUCAAACGAUAGUCCAUUUUUUUCACUUUCAAGGUUCACUGCUCAUGUUUGGGGCAGCUUGCUAUAUUUUUGUUUCGUUUUGGGGGUGUUCAUACAAAAAGGCAAGAUUUAGUUUGUAAUUAUUUGAAGAAAUCUCAUGUAGUUCAUUUGUAUGAAGACUUGUGGUUUGCUGUGUAAAAAGAAGAUGAAAACAAACAAUGCAGUACACUAGCCUCGAGGGUGGACAUGAAGUGCACUCCACCUCGUUUGGAAAAAUUUACGUCCCACAAAACAUAAAUCAUGCAGUUAGUCUAAAGAAGUGCAUUAGUCUAAAGAAGUGCACUCCAUCUCGUUUGGUAAAAUUUACGUCCCAUAAAAAAAAAUCAUGUAGUCAUGUAGUGCACUUGCCCGUCUGAUGAAGUGUGGGUUUUAGUCUAAAGAAGUGCACUCCACCUCGUUUGGUUAAUUACCACAAAAAAAAAA